rnacentral:lncRNA from 1 species
UAAUUAAUUAAAUCCUGCUACGCUAUACUUAGCACCCGUUUGGUUCGGGGUUAAGGGGUGGAAUAACUCCUUAACCCCGAAGUUAUUCACAAACACCCAAUUUGAGGGGUCCCACCCCACCACACUACUCAAACCAAAUAAAACACUAUUUUAUCCACUAUCCUUCUUAUCCCACCUACUUUAACCAAACACUAUUUUAUCUAUACCUGGACUAAACCCAAUCCUCAGCCGAAUACAAAAUUACUCUAAGCCCACAUUAACCCUGAACUUAACUCUAUCCCUAAAAUAAUAAGUUUUUACUUAACCCCAAACGAAACGGUCGCUUAGUGUUAUUUUCGUUGAUACACUACUAUAUUUUUUCUUUCUGAAAACGUCGUACUAUUGGAUAAUUAUUUUCUUAUCAAUCUCUAUAUUGAAUUUAAUGUUUAUUUUUUUUUUUAUUUUUUUUUGAGAGAUAGGUCGCACGCUACUCGCUUCGUUUAUUUUAUUUAAAAAUAAACUUAGCUAGAAAUGUGAAUCAACUAGGAUUCGAACUUGGGUCUCGGGUACCAACCACCAAGUCUUUUGCCACUUGCUCUAGGGAUGGUCGGUAAUUUAACGUUUAUUUUCAUUUGCAACUCUCUAGUAUCAAUAAUAUCACUAAACUAGCAUAAUCUAGCUAACCUAUAUACUAUUGGUAACAAAUUUAUUGUUUUAGACGGAGAUAGUCGAGAAAGAAUAAAAUAAGUUUCAAGAUGGAUUAAAUUCAUUAAAAGUUUUUAUUAAAUUAUUUUUAACUAAUUUUUUUUUUAACUAUUUCUAGGCAUUUGCUUUUCUUUUUUUUUGUAUUAAAAUGCACUAAAUAGAUUUUUUUUUUUUUGAGAAAUAGGUAGCAUGCUACCCGCUUCGUUUAUUUCAUUUUAGAAAUAAACUUAGCUAGAAAUGUGAAUCAAUUAGAAUUCGAACUUAGGACUUCGGAUACCAACCACUAAGUCCUUUGCUACUUGCGCUAGGAAUAAUCGGUCACUAAAUAGAUAUUCUACUAUCUUAAUCAACACUUUUUAGUAGAGUUACUAGUUCUGUCUAAAAUUUAUUACAGUGAAUAUAGACUAAUAAAGCAAAAAAAAAUUUGUAGUGUCUUUAGGGGAAAAAAAAGUACAAAUGAAAAAAGGGGUAAAGUUUACGAACUAAUGGGUAAUUAACCUCAAGUAGGGAUGUAUUAUUUUAAUUAAAAUAAAUUUAAAAAUAAUAAAGUAUUAUAGAACCAACUAUAUCUUAAAAUCACAUUUAUGUUAGAAAGAACUAAAAUUUAAAAGUCAAAUAAUAUUUAAAAUUAUCCAACUGCUUUAGUUUAAGGAGAACUAACAUUUAACUGAUUCGGAGCAGAUUCGGGGCGAAGCUUGAUGGGCGGACUCGGGCCACAUUAAUUUUUUUUAUCGCCUCCAACCUCAAAUCCUCGUUUGCCGCCCCAAAUUCGUUUAUUAGUCUCCAUUUACUGCACCGUUCCGGACGCAUCUAGGCGGGAGCUCCAUGAACCAGACUCCAUUUGCAUCCCUAAUUUCAAGGCCUUAUUUGGAAGUCGAAAAAGUUAUUCAAUGAUAUCUUGUUUAGUGUGAAGAUUUUAUAUUGUGACUCAAAAGUUAAGAAUGUGAUAAUAUAUAUCUUGUUUGGAUACAUAGAUAUCUUAUUACACAUAUUUCUUUAAUUUACUAUAAGGUUUGCGAUAUUUGUUCACUCAAAGAGUAUGAUCAGAUAUCUAGAUUGAAAUACUAUAUUCCAACUUAAAUUAUUUUUAUGAAAUAAGAUGAAUUAUCUGUUAGAUGUAUGCCCUAGAAGUUAAUCAGGCCGACACAUAUAUUCUUUCUAGGAUAUAAAUUUGUAUUUGACUUUAAAAUAUUAUGAAUUAUGAAUAAAUUUGGGUUAUUAUUUCCAUUCAUCUUGUGUAUGUGUUCAUGAAUCGUCCAAGAAAUUAAGAAGAUGAUGAUAUAUAUUCUCAAGAAUUGAGAAUUUGAGACGUGUCAUUGGUAGUUAAUUCCUAAAUGCUCCCGAUCAAUGGAUCAUCACGAGUUGAGAAUUUGAGACAUGUGUCAUUGAUAGUUAAUUCCUAAAUGCUCCCGAUCAAUGGAUCAUCACGGGGAUGGUGAUUGAUCCGGUGAGAUUGGUGUAUAGGUCGCUUCCCUUUUUGGAUAGACGAGUCUCAAGUCGACAGUGUGGGAAUACUGAAGUGAAUAUGCAGGUGGUUGUUAGAGAACAAAGGGUACCGAGCGUGACCAACACGAGAAGUCAUUUGGAUGUCUACUCACUCGUCAGUGACUUACUUAAUAUUGCAGUAGUGUAAUUGGUCAUUUGACCUGCGGUGCCUCGGCUAUUCACAAUGAGGUUACUAUAGUUUGACUGUACAUACACUUGGUCCCUAGCCAUUCGGGUUCUUGCGGAGCAUGUUGGCUGCGGUAGGUUUAUUGUAGAAAUAGAGUGCGCACUUAGAUGAAAUCUAUCUCCCUUGGUAGAUAGGGGCAUUAGUCCUAUAUGAUUUAUGAGACCGAGUUUAGAAGACCUUGGUCAGGGCAGAGUUAAUAGCGAAAAGGAGUUUCCGAUAUUAGAAACUCGAGUCGAAUAAAUUUGACAUAUGACAGACGAUAGGGUUUGACGAGUUAUUCCAUGACUUUCGUCUAGUUGGGACUCAUGAUAGAAGGACUGUAUCACACGGUAACUGCACCAAUUAAGGGGUUCAGUAUUUCAUUCUACUGGAAUGCCACUAUAUGCUGCUAGGCGUCACUGGUGGAUUGUGAGACUCAUGAGAAUUAUCUAGAUGAUCGAUAAUUCUCAAUGGGCUGAGUUAGAAUUGUUCUGAUCCAUUGAAAGGAGUUUCAGUGAUAUUAUUGAUAGUGAUCAAAAUAUAUCUGACUACCAGAUAGAAUAGAACCUAUGGGGUCACACACAUAAGAGGUUGUGAUUGAUCGGAUAGCUAGAUUGCGAUUAUUGAAUCGCCGGAGAACCUAAUUGUCAAUAUGUUGAUAAUUAGACUAAUUUGUAAUUGUUACAAAUUAGUGGUAUAAAGUGUAUAUGUUACAAGAGAGGAUUUACUAAUAGUUAUUAAAUUAUGAGAGGAAUUAUGUGCAAGUAUUGCAUUAUUAAUUUGAUAUGAUCAAAUUAAUAUAAUGUUCAAGUCGAAUCAAAUUAGGAUUUGAUCGAUCUAACCAAUUAAGGAAAGGAUAAAUUUAAACCUAAAUUUGUACUUAUUAUUAAUUGUUAUUAUAUUAUUAGAAAGAGGAUUAUAUUCCUAUAUAUAAUAUAGGGAAGUUUUUAGAAAACCCUAUGCAUCAUCUCUCUUCUCCUCUCUCUUUCAUCUUCUAGCAAGAAAGACAUCCUUUGCGAGGGAGCUAGCACCCCGGUGAGGACAUCGAUCGAAUCACCAACCUCGUGUGGAUACCUAUAGAAGCCGAACGCGUGUGCCGCUUCAAGAGAAUCUAAUUCCAUGAUCAACAAAUUGCAGAGAAUCUAAUUUUUCACUUUAGUGUCACCCAAAGUUUUUAAGUUUUUGAAGAAAAAACUAUCAGCAAUUCUUGAAACAGUUUUACUGAAACAUCACUUAUGCAAAGCGAUAGGUAGGCCAAAUGAGCCCCAACUUUGUAGUUCUAAUUAAUGGCAUUCUUUUGACAUGUCCUGUAAAGUGAAAUCAACACAUAUUAGAUGCAAAAAGAAUAAGAGCUAUCAUCUAUGGAAUGACUCCCAAAGAACACCAAGAUCAACAUUGCCCCCAGAUAGAAUGAUCCCGAUUUUGCUGCUCUCGUUCCAUGCGGCACUCUGUUUGAAUCUCUGGGACAGAACCGCAGCAAGACCAACGGCGCCGCUUGGCUCCACAGCCACUUUUAGAAUCUCGUAGCACAGUCGCAUGGCCUCGAUUAUUUCCACAUCGUCGACGGUGAUGAUAUCGUCCACUAAAUCGCGCACCACUGGCCUGAAUCAUAAUUAGUAAAGAAAUUUUUCUUUUUUACUGUUCCAACAAUGGACUCAAAUGAAAUGAUUUAUACAACAAAUGUUGGGGAAAAAUGUUAAGUUUUAGCGAGGACAACAUGUGUUACGAAAGAAAGUUUUGAGAAGAGAGAUGUGAUAGCUAAAACAGAUAUUUUACCACAAAGAGAAGAACAUAAUACAACAUCCACAACUUGAGAACAUUCUACCAGUUUCUUAGCCAUACAUGUUAUUGUACAGAUUAUGUGUUUUAAACAUAGCUAAUUAAAAAGAGAGAGGGAGACAAUGGAACUUCUAACCCCCCCAAAAGUUCUCUUUUUUAUUUAUUUCCUUAAAAACUCAAUUUCUGAGAGAGUAUGUACUCAUUCAUCAUGUUUAUAUAUGUAGGCAUUCGCAUUCACAAAUACAGAUGUGGAUUCCAUGGCUACUAAUAUGCAUGAAGGAGAGAAACUUUUAAAUGCAUACCAUGUCAAUUCUCCAAGAAAAGCACGAAGUCCAUCCGCGAUGGUGUCGGUCUCGGGAAGUGUGAUGAUCCUACCUUCUGCCUUGGACCGAGCAGCAUCGUCAGCACCCUUUGGUUCGGCAGCCAAAACACGGAUAGAAGGAUUCAGGGCCUUAGCAGCCAAUGUCACACCAGAAAUUAAACCACCACCUACAUUUGAACAGAACACACAAACACAAGAUGUGAAGAAUAACCAUGAAAAAUAUAACAUAGUUUGUUGAUGUUAAAAAGCAUUCAAUGUUACGAACCACUAAUUGGUACGACUAUUGUGUCGAUUCCAGGGGCUUGCUCCAACAGCUCUAGCGAAAUUGUGCCCUGACCACUUGGAUGAUAUAACAAGACUUUUUUCAGUAUAGAAUGUAUAUUCCAAAGGAAAUAUUGAAUGAAGAUGUCAUCAUCAACUAACCCUAGUCUUAAGAAAAGACAGUCAUUGACUCGCUAAUUGGGUCUAAUAUUAUUCAUGGGUUUGCACAAGGAAAUAGAUUCGGGAGUGAGACAAAGCAGUUUACAAGGCCGUCACAGUUGCAAAGAAAAGAAUCUUAUGUGUAAUAAGGUUCAGCGAGAGAAUUAUACUGUAACAAAAUGUACAAGAAGGUUAAGGCGAGUGGAUCAUCUAAUUUACUUUGAACAUAACAUGGUAUGCAUGCAUUCAAAAUUAGUACAAACAAAGGAUAAUAGAUCCUUUCUAUAAUAUCUAAGAAUUUCUAACAAAUAACUAUACUUUGACAAUUCAACUCAGAGUUUUCAGAUGUUCAUCUCACCAUGGGAAAAUAUUAUUCUUAAUGAACUUAUAUAUUCACUACUCAAAAACAAACUUGAAUUCUCAAUAUUCUUCUGUAAUCAUUAGAGAUACGAAUUAGCUUUAUAGGUGAUGUGAUAAUAAGUCUCUUCACUGUCAAUAUGAAACAGCGCAAAUUAAAUUGACUUGUAUAACACCCCUAAUGUAAACAUGCAUGUCCGCUUUUGAGUACUGGUAAUUAUAAUAUAAGGAAUUCAAUUAACACCGGCAAUAUAAAAAUGAAGAUUAAUAUUGAUAUGCCAUUAAAUCUUUUGCCAAUACUCAGAUGUAAGAGAGAGGAAAAUUUUCCAAUUAUUGCUUUACAACAUGACAUGCAGCGUAGAAUGUGGUCUUCCUAAUGAGGUUCAAAUUAGGGGGUCAAAAUUGUUCAUUGAUGAUGAUUUUGUAAUUUGCUACACUAAGAUGACCAUAACCAGAUAAAUUUAGUGCCUUAUAAGUAAGGAUUUAAGUACCGUGGUACGGAGCUAUGCUGAGCACUUGCCUAUAUAGUAUGACACACUAUUUGAAAAGAUGCACCUCGGCACCUAGGCAUGAGGCGCGUGCCUAGGCUCUGAGGCACGUGCUUAUACCAGUAAAGUGUGGACUUUCCACUUAUUCAACAUGAAUUUACGGAUGUAAACGGGGCCGAUCUGGGGACGGGAGCCCCGCCCUACCUCCCACCCCAACUACCAAAAUCCCGUCCUGCCUCUUGCCCCGAAUACGUGACGGGUCAAAAAAUAUAUCCCAUAAUCCGCUCCGCCUCGUAACCCGCCUCCCGCCGGCGCCUCGAAUCUACCCCGCCAACUAAUAUUUUUUUAUAAAAUAUAAUAUAUUAAUAUUUUGUAAAAUGUAAAUUAAUAAUUUUUAAUAAUAUUAUAUAUAUAAUUAAUAACAUUAAUUAUAAAAAUAAAAAAUAUCAAUCACAAUUAGAAACAAAAUUCAAAAAUUACAAGUACAUGAGAAAUGAGAGCACUAACUUAUUUUUAUUUUGGGCUUUUUUGUAAAUAUGGAUAUUUUUUAAAAAUAUAAAUGGUUUUCGGGGCGGAUUUGGGGCGGAUCAUGGGGGGCGGAUUCGGGGCAGAUUCAGAGUAGGUCAAAAUUUCUCCCGUUUCUUGCCUUGAAUCCGUCUCGGAUCAUAAAAAUUACCUAGUUUCCUGCCCCAAAUCCGUUUAUUUUCUCCCGUUUAUUGCCCUAUUCAAAGCGGAUUGAGGCGGGAGCUCCACCAACCCGGAUCCGUUUGCAUCCCUACAUGAAUUCUAGGUAAUAACAAGGAGACAAAAAUUGAACAGAGAAAAAAGAAGAGUAGGAAAAACUUGGUACAUUCUGAGAAAAUUCUCAACAUGAGUGACGUUUUCGAAUUGCUUAGGGGAGAGAACUGAAGGCACCUAUAAACCAUGCGUUUAAAUUAAUUCAGUCUUAAUGGUAUACUUGCUAGAAAAUGUACUUCAAAUGGAGAACCUAGAAUUUGGAACGCUCCUAUUAAAGGCGUGGAAAUUCUAACUUGGAUGCUACCAGAACCAAUUGAUAAAAUUUGACCCAUACCUUAUAAUGUUCUUAUCAUUAAAUGGAUGAAUAAGGACAGCACCAGUUUCUUGUUGAACCUUUCUAGCCACUGUUUCUCUUGAUUGGAUAGUGGCCUCACUCCAUAUAACCUGUCCGCCAUAGCGCUUGACAUUUUCAACCUUGCAUUUUGGUGCAUUUUUGGGUAUUACAAUGUAAGCAGGGAUCCCACGUAGUUUCGCAGCCAAGGACACUGCAGCAGCAUGGUUACCACUAAAUCGAAAAUAUUUCAUUAAGAUUUCUAACAUAGAGAGAGAGAGAGAGAAAUUAUAUUCUUCACAAAAAACAGUAAACUAGAGUUGACCUGCUAUGAGUUACUACUCCCUUAGCUGCUUGGCCAUCUUCAAGAGAGAAUACAGCAUUGGAAGCACCUCUAAUUUUGAAUGCCCCACUGGAAUUUACAUAAAAUUAGCAGAAAAACGAAUUACGAAAAUUUAGGUCGCAUUUGAAUUUGCAUUGUUUAGAUUUAUGUUUAUGUAGUUGAAGGACGAUGGACUUAUUUCAACUUGAAAAUAGAUGACUACGCAAAAUAACCAAUUAAAGCAGAAGAUAAAGAAGUCCAUUUUCACCUGUCCUCAACCGCACAGAAUUUGAGGGGGAAAAAAUAAUAAAGUGAAAAAAUUUAAAAAAUAACUAAUAUCAAAACACACCUAAAUAUUUAUAUUUAUGAAACAAGAUGGACAUAUUGCUGCUAAAGGUUGCGUAUCCGCUCACCCCUUCUGGAAGCAUUCACACUUGAAAAACAAUUGUUUCCCGGCUAUGAAAUCAAGAGAUGUCGACGUGAGAACUGGAGUUCUAUGGAUAUAUGGAGCAAUGCGGAGCUGUGCUUCUCUUAUGGAUACAAUAUCAGCGGCAUAAAUCUGAUUUUCUUUAUUGUCCUUUCGUUCCAUUAAAUCUGUGACAUAUUUAUUAUAAUCAAGUUAAAAUUUAUUAUUGUUAUGUGAUACUGCGUCUGAAAACAGGUAGCAUUGGUAGAUCAGAAAUUUCAUGAACUCAAACAUGCGAUUGAACUCCUACUCCAUCCAUAACAUUUCGUGUAAUGGCUCGACAGAUUUCGUGCCCGUUUGACCAAAUUUAUGAAACAACUUCUCUACUACGAGUAGUAGGCAAGCAUAACCAAAAGCUUAUAGAGUUUUUGCUGUGGAGGGAAGCUAAAAUGAGCUUGAAGCUUCAAGUUACAAAGCUGUUAGAAGAUCUUCUAUGCAAACAAAUUGAUUAUGCUGUAAUUAGUGUCAAGUUAUCUAGUACAGUGCAACAAUUUGAUCAUUUCUCGCCAUGCCAUUUCCUGUAUUUCUGCUAAUAAUAAUCCGCUCACCAGUCCUAUAUUUUGAGUUAUAGACUUUGCAUACUCGAGGGAUAAAACUACAUUUCUUUUGUCAGUUUAUCCCACUAUAUGAUGGUAAAAUCAGGAAAAAGAAUUGCUACCAAAUUCGUUUUGGGUAAUGGGAGUUGAUGCUUAAGCAAUCACCUAAGAGUACGAUCUACAAGAGAUUCUCGAAUAAAUCUGAAAUGCGUGCAAGGAAAUUAAGAUUGAGCUAUUAACAUUCACAAUGACAGCUGUACGCAUAAAAAGGCAUAACAGAAUAGCCGAAGAUAAAAUAAUCUUUAGCUUGAAUACUUGGAGCUGGUCUCUUCUAAUCUAAUUAGAAAGCAGACACACCAAAAAACUAAGUAGAAACUCCUUAGCAGCCAGUAUCUACAAUCAUAGUAUGGCUUUUCUCUAAUGGAAUCUACAUGAAAAACUCGAUGGAGUACGAGAAGUCGACGGUGGUUUCCUAGAUAUCUCCUUAUGAUGAGUUAAUGAAAUACCUCCUGGAAAAACUCUAGAUAAUUCUCAAGGUUUUCUCGGCAAAGUAUCUCAUUAACCCAGAAAAAUUUUUUUUUUGACUGUGAGACAAAAUUCACAAGGUGAUUCAUUGUACAAUUUAUUAAUGGGAUAAAAAAUAAAUAAAUAAGCCAUAAUGUUAGUUGAUAUCCUCACACCCCCACACAAGAAGGUCAGUGAUCUGCUUGAUCUAGCCUAACCUAAGAAGGAAAAAACAAAGAAAGAAGUGGAAAAUAACACAAAAGAGUUCGUGCGGGGCAUAAGGCAUGCUCCGCCACUCGACGAAAAACGGAAACAAUUGCCCCACUGCACCUAUAUCGACAAUGCCACUCCUGAGAGAAGAGCCUCAAGGUGAACUCGACAAAGCUAGCUCUAAGAGAGGCUAUUCAUCAUUUAAAAUUAAAUUCGAGGAGGAAAAAAAAAAAAAACUUGAUAUUUGAGCAUUGACCAUAAGAUUAAUAUUCAAAUCAUGUAAUGCGGGUUGAAAUUAAUGAAAAGCAAUCGACCCAGUUCAGAAAUGUAAAUCUCAAGAGUUCAACUACUAAAAAGACCACAAUAAAGUUGAACUACAAAAUUAAAACUUUUUUUUCAAUUUAACACUUUAAAAUUUUAUAAUUUGACAAAUAAUGCUGUAAAAUUUUAUUUGGCCAAAUAAUCCUAUUUUGUCCAACUCAGUGGUCAAAUAGAAGAGCAAUUGUCAGAUAGAAGAGCAAUUAGAAGGUGGUCAAUCGUUUACCAUCUAUAAUGAAAUUUAAAAGACGUUUUCCCAUGUAUAAUCCAAGUAACCACAUAAAAAUUUCAACAAAGCAUAUACAAUCCCACCAACCUAAAAAAUCCUAACAAUCUAUUCAUACAAUUCUAACAAUCAAACAAAAAUUCUAAUAAUCCACGUACAACCCUAACAACCUCUCAAAGAUCCUCACAAUCUAUAAAAAAAAUAAUAACAAUCUGAAAACGGUGAACUUGUUUCUCAUUCUUGUCCCACAUGGCACUGAGUUGGCAAAAUGAGGAUUAAUUGGCCAAAUAAAAUUUUGGAUGGAUCAUUUCGCAAAUUAGAAAUUUUUUUAGGGUUAUUGUAAAAAAAAAAAAGGUUAAAAUGCCCUAAUUUGACACCUGCUUUCUCUCUUGGGUGUGUUUGGUUCGCCCAUUUUUCACCUUGGAAUCAGAAUCAGAAUGGAUGAAUCCGUUUGUUCAUAUUUGAUAUGCGGUAUUUCCAUCCGAUUCCGAUUUCCGGAUGAAUGGGAAUCCUUCUAAUUACUCCUUUUUCUAAUCCGGCCUAGGAGGCCGAAUUGAAAAUUAAAUCCGGGCGGAAUGGAUUUGUUCGGAUUAAUCAUUGAAAUCCUCUUUUCUCUCUUCAUUAUGCCCAAACAAGUGAAGCUCAAACUCCUUUCUCUUUCAAUCCAAUUUGGCAAAAUUAAGCCUCCAAAGCAGUCACCAGAUUCUUCCUUGCUCUAAUAUUACAUAAGCAACCAGCAGUAAGUAAGCAAAUCACGACCAGAAAGAGCACAAUCAACCAACCAAAUCUCACAGAGAAGGGAGCUGAUUUGAUCCUGGGGCGUAAUCUAUUUCCCUUUAAUUUAAUUUGUGGUUCAUUAUAAGUUGAAAUCGAAAAGCAAAAGAUCUAUGGCUACGGAAGAGAGCGAAAGGAAAUUGCCACGGAAUUAAUAUUUCCGAAGAUCUAAAACAGGGAUGUAAAGAGGGGAUUAAUCUGACCCGGGAGGGGGUGGAGAUUCGGAAGCGUCGAGGCCUCGAAGGAUCCCGAAGGCGAGCCACCGCUGGCCGGGGGGUGCUGGUGGUGGUACAGGAUCCGCGAUUCGGGUACUAUCUCAGUCGACGAAAAUAGGGAAAACUUCAAAUACCGCCCAUAUUGUUUCAUACUUUUUUAUUUUAAUAUUUUAUAAUUUAAAAUAUAUUAAUUUAGUAUCUAAUAAAUUUUUUUUUUUGUCAGCUCCUCAGUUAACAUUUUGUUAAAUUAUGUAUAAAAAAUUUCAGAUACCCCAUCUAGAUUUAUCGAAUAUUUACUUUAGUAUCUUUUUAGUUUUAACUCUAUCAUUGAUUUAAUAAAAAAAAUUAGUGGAUGACAUAAUAGAAAAAAAUAAAAUCACAGGUACUGAAUUGAUACACUUUAAUACUAAAAGAAAAAAAUAUGAAAUCACAGGAUGCGCGUAACGGGCAUGCGUGAAUGUGCCAGUGCAUGAAUGUAAAAAGUUAACAUAAAUAAAAUAAUAAAAAAAAACAAAAUAAAUUAAAUAAUAAUAAUAAUAAGAGAAUUUUGAAUUUUCAUGAACAAAAAGCUGCCACCAUUUUGUCAGAAGUGCAACAUACAUCAAUACUAUGUCUUUGAUUCUAAGUCCUCAUUCUUUCCUGUUUUCUGUUUCCAUACAUCAAAACUAAGCAUGAUCUACUCUAAGCAGAUGCACUCCUUUUCUAGAAGAAAGCGCUUCUCACGGCCUCAAUAUCUUGAAUCGCCCAUUUUCAUACUUUAAAAGUUAAGAAGAUAUAAAUUGGUAGGUUGGAUAAGACUGAGUUUAUCAGUAGAAGUGGCCCACUCUAAGAUAGAAGUUUAGAUUAAUUUGCACCUCUUAAUGUGCUAUUUGAUUUUACAUUUUUUUUUUGUUUUUGAGAGAUAGAUAGCAUGCUAUCCGCUAAUGUGCUAACUUGGGACCUCAGGUACCAACCAUCAAAUUCUUUGCCACUUGCGUUAGGGACGGUCGGUUGAUUUUAUUGAUUAUAUUUUGCCAAUUAUUUUUUUUAAGUUGUCUAUUGGAAAUUGUCAAUUCUAGAUAUUAUAAAAAAAGUUCACAAGCUAUAAAUGAUAAGAAUUUGAUUAAUCUCCUCUUCUUAUUUUGUAUAUUAUCCAAAAUUAGCCUCCGCCUCGCAAAAGAAGAUUGUGUCAUUCAUAUACUGUAUGAGUGUGACUUUAUUUUUUUUAGUAAGAUAAAGAUUUGUAAAACUUACUUGCACCGUUAACUAUUUUGAUUUGACGAUCUAGUCUAAAAAAAUUAUAAUUUCCUGCUGAUCCUUCAAUUUAUUAAAUUUAAAUUAUUUAAUAAUUCUUCUAUUUUAGAAUUUACAAGUGUAUUUUUCUUUACCGGUUUAAUUAGCAUUUUCAUGUUAACUUAUAUGAUUGUAAAGUUAUUAAGGGAGGGGAGGGGAGAGAAAGAGAGAGUAGGGUGAAGUUCUUGCAGGUGAAGAAGUAGUGGAGGUCAUUGAUAGGGAUGUGAACGGGUCGGAUUUGGGGUGGAUUUUUAAAAACUUGAAUCCGAACCCGAACCUGAUUCCAAAUAGGGAUGCAAACGAGGCGGAUCCGGGGACGGGAGAGUUUUCCCACCUCCCGCUCCAUUUCUUAUCGGGGCGGGGCGGAUUCGGGACGAGUUACUUUUUAUUUUAUUUUUGGCUCCCACUUACCGCUCCAUUCCGGGCGGAUCGGGGCGGGAGCCAGAUUUUUGACGGAUCGGGGCGGAUUGAAGGAAGAAAAGAGUCUCCCACCUCCCGCUCCAUUUACUUGGCGGAUCGGAACGGAUUUGGGGCGGGUUAUAUUUUUUUAUAUUUUUUGUUNAUAUAUAUAUUAUGUAUAAUGUAAAAUAAAUUCAGAUUUGGAUUGGGUUCGGAUUCGGAUUGGGUAUAGUCAAAAUUCAUAUCGGUAUUCAUAUCCGUCGGAUUUUUGUUUUGAUAUCCAUAUCUGAAACCAUAUCUAUUCAGCACCGAAUAAAUUUGCUCCGUUCGGAUUUAGGUUCGGAUAAAAUUUCAUAUAUCCCUACCCAUCAACAUCCCUAGUCCCGGAGGAUGCUUGUAGAUAGAGGGAAUGGAUGAACACUAGAUUUUUUUAUGAACCCAGUUUGUUAAUUUGUGCAUGUUCUCAGCCUCCCUUUUAUAAUUUCCACUGUAAAUAUGGUGGACCGAGCGUACUGACUCUAAUAAAGUAGAGUGUCUCGUAAAACCUUUGCUUUAUGGCAUACUAGUAUACAACCCGCGCUUUGCGGCGGGUACAUAGUAUUUUAGUCACGUAGUAUUUUAGUCGAUAUAUAUAUACCAGCUCACUCUCUCUCGAGUGCGGCUAGGAUGCUCAUGGAAGCACGGAGGGCUCCGUGCUUCCACUUUGUUUUCGAUGUUCGGACUUUCGAAUCGACGAUCGGCUCCGUUAGACUUGAUCUAGAGUAUUUGAAGUAUCUAGAAAAUAAAUUUUGCGAUUUUUCGAUAUCAUUUGCCUAGUGAUCGAAGUGGCUCAAAAUCAACGGCUGAAAAUAAAAAUCUUACAAAAUAUGAUGAUAUGACAUUAAAAUUUUAGAUCAAAGUUAUUGAUCUUGUUUUAUAUGGUAUAAAGAAUUUUCUAUCAAAAUUUCAUGUGAUUUGGAUAUUUCUACACCGUUAAACUUGCAACUAGCUCACCACGGCCAUUAAAAUUAUUGAUUUUGAGCCCCUUCGAUCACUAGGCAAAUAAUAUUGAAAAAUCACAAAAUUUAUUUUCUAGGUACUUCAAAUACUCUAGAUCAACUCUAACGGAGCCGAUCGUCAAUUCGAAAAUCCGAACAUCGAAAACAACUUGAAAGCACGGAGGGCUCCGUGCUUCCAUAAGCAUACCAGCCCUCUCUCUCUCUCUCUCUCUCUCUAUAUAUAUAUAUAAUUUUUAAAAUCUUAAAAUUGAAAAAAAUUACAAUAAAAAAUACUAAACAAACUUAAGGGGCUUUUUUAUAAAAUGACCCUCCAAAAAAUCAUAAUUAGUAAAAUGAUCCUGCCAAACUAACCAUCCUUUCGCCACGUGGGCGCCACGUCAGUGUUUCUCACAAAGACGGUGAAUUGUUCACCGUUUUUGUAAUAUUUAUUAUGAAGGCGGUGAAUGGUUCACCACCUUAUAAAGACGGUGAACCAUUCACCCACCCCCCUUUCAUUUCCCCUUACAAUGCUGCCGCCUUUCGAACUGCACCCUUAUAAUUCUGUCUUUUUUGUACCCUUGAGAAGACGGGGAAUGGUUUACCAUCUUAACUAUUCACCGUCUUUAGUGUAAAAUACGACCCAGCAAAAUUUAGCUAAGUUCUGAAGUCGGAGCUAAAAUAUAGAUAAAAUGAUGAAUAUGAUGAAUGGUUCAUCGUUUUCAUAAAGACGGUGAAUAAUUUACUGUGUGCUUUGUUGUGCUUUGCGGUUUAUACUAAAGGCGGUGAAGUUCACGGCUUUAGUGCAAACAGCCUCCAGCCCCCAGUGCUUAGUAAUUUAUUCCUGACCAGAUCUUAUCCUCUGCCGCGGGAGUUUGACCGGCGGGCCGGCUUCUGCUCCGCUCUUCUUCCCGCAGGCGGCAGCAGACAGCGAAUCGAAAGAGAGAGAGAGAGAUGGCGCUGAAGGUGUACGCCGAUCGGAUGUCGCAGCCAUCCCGCGCCAUCAUCAUCUUCUGCAAGUAAAUCACUACUCCUCUCCCUUCUUUUCCUUCUCUUCUCUCCGUUUAUUAUAUCCAUUUUUAGGGGUUUUUUGCGGAAUUUUAAAGCAUUUCUUGGUGAGGUUUCAGGGUAAACCGCAUCGAAUUCGAGGAGGUGAGGAUAGAUCUCUCCAGGGGCCAGCAUCGAUCGCCUCAAUUCAGAGGUGCUUCUCUUCUGCCAUUCCUUCCCUGCUGAAUCCAACCCUUUUUUAGUGAUUAUACUUAAUAAUUAUUUCAAAGUGACCUUUGAGCCGAGAUAUUGUUUGUUUUUAGGAUUUGGGAUCAGCAUACAACUUUAAGUACAUGCCAUGUGUGAGAUCUUGUGCACGAUAAAAACGCAGCAGAAAAAGAAAAUCAAAUAAAAUUUGAUCUUAAAAUACGAGAUCCGGUCUCGAAAACCACGCAAAAUUACAAAAGAAAAAAGGAAGAUCUGAUCUUCAUUUUUGCGCAGGUAGAUUUAUACCACAAUUUGAUGAGCGUGAAAUUUGAUUCUCUUGAAGCCGCACACACGUCGGCCUCUAGAGGUAUCCACACGAGGUUGCUGAUCUGAUCGAAAUCCUCAUCGGGGUGUUAGCUUUCUUGCAGAGAACGCCUUUAUGCUAAUUGAUCGGAUCAUAAAUAAUUUCACAAACAAGUAAGGAACAUGUAAAGCUUACAAUCAUAAUUAACUCUUUCCUGAAGCUGCACAUGCGUCCGGUCUCUACAGGUAUCCACAUGAGGUUGCUGAUUUGAUUUUAAUCCUCACCGAAGUGUUAGCUCCCUUGCAGAGAACGUCUUUAUGCUAAUUGAUCGGAUCAUAAAUAAUUUCACAAACAAGUAAGGAACGUGUAAAGCUUACAAUCAUAAUUCACUCUUUCUGAUUGUGUUAAAAGGUGUGGAGCAACCUAGGUGCUAGGGAUGAGGACAUGGGAGAUUCGAUUCGAUAUAAUUCGGACACGGCAACUCGACAACCUAAAAAAAAUUAGGACACGGACACGAUAUAGGCACCAUUUAUAAAACAUAAUACCAUUAAUAUAAUGAUAUUAUAUUUAUUAUAUAUAAAAUAUUAAUUUUGCUAAAAUAUUGUUAUAUUUCUGAUACAAAUGAAAGUUAAUAAAAUUCUCAUUGAUAGUUCAUAUAUUUUAAGAAAAAAAUUUCUCCACCAUACGUAAUUUAGUUAUAUCGUCCAAAAAGAGUUCUUAUGCAUUCAUCAAAAGGAAAAAUAUUUAUUAUCUUACAUUAUAUACUAAUAAGAAAGUAAAAAAAUAUAUAUAUUUUUGAAUCGCUAUGGACGUGCGUCUAACGUGCGUCCAUGGCAUCCGACGCCGACACAAGUCCGACACGGACAUGCGUGUGUCCAAUGUGGACACGGAAGUUUAUAGCGGCAUAUGUGAUAAUAGGGAACAACCGUAUAUCUCCAAAAACUUAAGCUGCCAGAGAAAUGUUUGGGCUUGAGGCUUUUUGUUAUGCCCAAGACGUGGAAUAAUUAAAUGGGAGCAAAUUAAAUGAAGGAGCGGGACUCAAACUCAGAAUUUUCUGCUCCAAAACUAUGGUAAAAGUUGUAAAACAACCGUUUUUCUCCAAAAGUUUAAGCUUCCAAAGAAUAAUAUUUCGAUAUUUAUAAUCGACAAAGAUUUUGGGAACAUACAGUUGUCAAUCAUAUGUUCUUCCCACUCGGUCAAAGGCAUUUGACAGGCGCACUAACAAUUUAAAAACUGACGGUUGAAUCACUGGUUGCUUGCUUCAUCAGCAUUAUGGUUUAGAAUCUCUUUCAUUAUUCAUGUCGGUAUUUGUUGCUCUUUCCAUUUACGGAAUGAUGAAGGAUUGAGAUUGAAGUCAUUAAACCUUCAAAUUUGUUUUGUUAGUAUGUCCUUCACUUUAGCCAGACUCUUUACCCAUGAGGAUCGGUGUGAAACUUCCAUUGUUGACAAAGUCUAAUUAACUGGUAUGAGGCAGAUUUAAAAUGUAAGGGUUGAAAAAUCACAACUUGUACUUUAUAAAUCAAUUGUUACAUUUGGUGCAGCUGAGUUCGCUGCGUUUGUCAGCUAGAGCUUAGAAAAGCUUUUGUAUUCAUGCCUUUCAAAAAAGAAAGUUUGAGCUCUUGUGAAGGAAUCAAACGGCUUUGAACUUGAACCAGAUCUUUAAUUCGCACAGUUUUCCUUUUCCCAUGUUCAAUUUGACAUUUUGAUUAGAUGAAUUUAUAGCCUCAGGAAGAGAGGAAAUGUGAAUGCAACAACAGUUUAUCAGGUCGGAAGCUAAGCUGUUGGGUAGCUUAUUAUUAAUAAAAGAUGAACAUCCAUUGGAAAUAUCAUUUAGGGUAUGUUUGUUUUUCCUUAACUGAAAUUCGGGCCAAAAUUGAGUUCUGACAUUUUGACUUAAUGCAUUCAUAGCCUGAAGGAGAAAGAGCAUUACGUGGUCUUUCAUUUGAAAACUGAAAACUAAAGGAUAGCGAAUACAAUAGCAAUUUAUCAGGUCGGAAAUUAAGCUGUCGAUUAACUUAUUAUUAAUUAAAGAUGAACAUCUAGUGGAAAUAUCAUUUGGGCCACUCACUUCGCCUGUUUGUAAUAUUCCAGGUAUUCCCUACAUUUUCCAUGCAAUAUGAUCAAAUUGCCACCGGUGAGGGGCAUAUUGUCAUUCCCAUCCUUGAUUGGGAAUCACUAUUCCAUUAACAAGAAUACACACUCCUUACACCCUCCAAACUCAAGUGGCAUUGCGACAAUCUUGUCAUUCCAAUAUAAAAUGUAUUAUAUUCCUGGAAAGCAAACAAACCGAUGAGAUGCACCACACCUUACUACCUUAGUUAUGUUCCAUUCGGGCCUUAAAAAACUCUACCAUGUUAAAUUAACCACGUAUAUUAGUAUUGAUAAAAAAAAAUUUAUUGUUGAAUAAUGACUUUGCCAACUCCUUUGGAUGGAGGUUCCAUGAACUAUGAACUACUGAAAAAAAAAAUGCCUGUUCAAAUUAUAUGUGUUCAGCUACAUUUAUCCUUUUCCGCAAUGUAGCAGAAACUUGAAAGUGAAACAAAUGUGAGUAUCAAGAUAAGCGAGUACAUUAUUAUGUUGGUUUUUCCUCAUGAAUUUUUUGUGUUCUGCUUAUUUUUGGCUGUUGUUUCAUUUGAGAAGUAUUUGUGAAAUUUUAAUACAAAACUCUUUCAUUGUUUUCAAAACUUUCUACUUGGUAGCCAUAUAUCAAAUUAAUGUAAGAAAUAUUUUGUUGACAAUAUUCUCACAAAGCCUUUUACCAGCAAUACAACUUACCUAGAGCUUUACUCAACAUUGGGAAAGCUUCAUUUAUUAUUGUUAUCCUAUCUCUGGUCAAUUGUGUUAAUUUGGAUGCUUUUCUCAGAAAUAAAUCCGAUGGGACAAGUUCCGGCGAUUGUUGAUGGAAGAUUUAAAUUGUUUGAGAGGUAUCAUAUUCUUCUUCUUAAGUUGUGCUGAACAUUUUUUGAGAUGCAGAAAUUUGGGUGGUGUGAGUAAUGGGCAUGUUAGAUUGUAAGCAGCAGCUGCAAUAUUAAAAAGGUGCAUGGUCAUAUGAGCAGGACUUAUUCAUUGUAGCUUUGCCUCUUGAAUUAUUCCAUAUUUAAGUGUGUUGGAGACAAGCUUUGUAGAAUUUUCUCAUUGGAAAUGUUGAGGAAGUACUUUUGGAGUAAUGGAACUUCUAGUAAUCUAAUUAUACUAUUGGUUAGCCUUUUGAGAAUUUUUUUUGAGAUAAAAUUUGAAAGUUUUGGACUUCAUAACUCAACUUGCUUAGGUCUAGAUUGAUAUUGUUUACGUUGUUUAUUUUUUAAUAUUUUGUUACACAGAAAUUUCAUAUAAUAGACGGUGUGAAUAGAUGGUGGAUGACUUACAACCCAUACAUCUAUGGCAUUGUUUGGAAACAAAAACAUUAGCACUUGGUAGUAACUUCUUUUGUUUAUUCGUCUUCUGAAGAAGAUAGCAAACGAGGCCUUUGCCUUAAAGCUUGUAAACUUUGUAUUUAUUAACUCAAAUUGCCUAUGCUUCAUGAACUUCUUCGGCUUGUUGGUCCAAUUGGAGCUCCUACAGAACUUCUAUUUAAAUAUGCUGUUUGAACUUAGGAGAAGCACUAACAGUACCGACCUAACCACUUGUGUAGCAGAAGCAUAAGCUCCAAAUUGAAGCUUUUUCUUUUGGGGCCCAAAGGCUAAUUCUAGCUUUCUUCCGUAGCAAAAGUGCUUGGAUGAUGCCUUUUGGUGUAGAGAAGCUCUUCAAGUAGCCAGCUCAGUUAACAUUUAUCAAGUUGGAAAGUUGCCAAAUUCUUACCGAGACAUAUUCGUGUUCCUUUUCUGGAUGCUCCAAAGGUGGUCCAACAUUUGUUCUUUUCAAGUUUUAUCUUUGUUAUUUGACAGUGGAAUGGCUCGGAAAAUUUAAGUUGUCUUUUUUCUGUUAAACUUUGAAGUUGAAGUUCUCUGUAGUUUUGCCGACUUUCUAUUUUUAUGGCUGCUGGUACUUUUUAUUCUGUUGUUCUAAUGACAAUUCUAUAAUGUAUGGACAGUCAUGCCAUCUUGAGGUAUCUUGCUUGUGUAUUCCCAGGAGUUCCAGAUCACUGGUAAUGUAUUUUAGUAAUUUAUUAUGAAGUAUUAAUUACUUUGCUUCUGUACGUUGAGUCCAUUGUCUUGAUAAUUAGUUAUUUUUGACAAACUGGUGUUCUUCGAUAUUUGCUUCUUACACCAUGCCCACCACCACCCCCGCAACCCCCACNAAGGAAAAAAAAAACACACACACACAAGGAGGGAAAAAAGAAAAGGAAGAAAACCAAAACCACCCUGCAGUCUCAGAAAGACGAGGGUGGUAACAGGAGAACUAACCAUUUUGGGGGUACCAAUCGAAGAUUGUGUUACGAAGACAAAUACACAAACUUCUUGCGAAAUGUUUUGUUACGAGUUAAUGCUUCAUAGAAAGAGGAUUUGUUUUAAAUAGAUGUGGUAUAUUUAAUAUUUGAAAAUUAUUGGUGAGACCAGGGGGAAAUGAAUUUAGCUAUGUGAUUGAUCUCUUUUUUUUCCCUAAGAAUGUUGAAGUAAGCAAUAUUUUAGGGGGUUAACAAACAGGAAUAUGUUUUAUUCUGACUAAUUAAGACAAUGGCUUAUGGUUCAGAGAUUGGAGAGGUCUGGUUUUAAUAACUUUAGUUUAUUCACGACGGUAGUUACUUUUCUUGUAUAAAAGUGCAUUUAUUAUGGAUCUUGUAUGUUACCUAACCUGAUUAGUGUUACUGCUUACCUUUUUUAUUUAUUAACUUAUUAAUAUUUUGAAGGUAUCCAGCUGAUUUAUUUAGUAGAGCCAAAAUUGACUCGAUCUUGGAUUGGCAUCAUUCCAACUUGCGUCGCGGUGCAGGUGGUAGUCUUUUCUGACUGUAACUUCUGGAAAAUGUUUCCACAUUUUUUUUUUUCCAUUUCAAUUCUGGUAGAGGAAUCAACUUAGGAAAGUUAACUUAUUUCCUGGGUUAGAAUAUAAUUGAGCUGCUAUUUAUAUGAGAAGAUAAUCAAUAAAAUCAUAAAAAUUCAAUGCAUCCUGUAUAAAUAAGAAAAAUAAUUUGGGUAAAUUGGUGAAAGUAUGAAAAGAUAGAAAAUAAAAAACAGAUAGAAUCUGCUGCUCUACUGGUCAACAGCUGGUCGCAAUAUACAAACUAAUUUUUUGAAUCUUCUCAGAACUGAGUUGUGCUUGACCCCAAAAACUUGGGGAGAUUUUUUCAUCUUUUCCUAUAUUUUUGUGCUUGUUUGUAUUAUUUUUUGUUGGACAAAUAGAGCAUUAUGCUGUAUUAGAUGAUAAUCAAUGGAGCUAUCACAAUACUGAUUCAUAUCCUGCUAUAGUCCAAAACUGCUGCUUGUGUGUUGCUUAAAAUAUGCGAAUGCUAGUAACUUACUCAGGAUACUUGCAAGUUGGGAACAAGAUCUUUCCUUCUUUUGCUGGUCGGGAACAAGAUCUUUCCUUCUUUUUAAUUUCAAGCAAUAUAUUGGAUUACAACACGUUGAGAGUCCAAUUGCCAGUUCUGUAAGUCCUAUACUUAACAAUUAUAAAAAUUAUAGCCAUCAGAAGUGAAUCAAGUCUACUCAACGAUAUGAGAAGCAUCGUAUGAAUUGCAUAUUUUAGGUUCAAAAUUUAUUAUAUACGCAUUGAGAGGUGCUCCUAAAGCUUAUGUAGCCAUUUUAAUGGUUAGCCUCAUUUCUUUGCAAGAAGUUAUGUUGUAUACAAUUGAUGGACUAUAGCUCCAAAUGGAAAAAAGAAAAAUGAACUUAGGCGGCAUCAUUUUUACAGUUACCGUUAUUCUGUGGUAAAUUUACUUGCUUUUUCGUAUUACAACCUAUAAUGACGAUGUUUUGUUGUCUUUCUUAUUUUGGGAGUAAAUUUCACAUGAUGCUGGGGAGUUAGCUGAUAAUACGCUUUUCUUAAUGUGCAGUGACCUUUGUUCUGAACAGUGCACUGGCUCCUGCUCUUGGUCUGCCACUAAAUCCACAAGCAGCAAGCGAAGCUGCACAAUUGCUGAGUUCAUCACUUUCAAGGAUUGAAUCCAUUUGGCUCAAAGGGAAUUCAAAGUUCUUAUUAGGCAAUUCUCAACCAUCUAUCGCAGACCUAAGCCUCGUCUGUGAGAUUAUGCAGCUGGAGGUACGUAUGCAAAUAUAGCAUCUGCUACUAUUGUAUUGUUAGCUCUCGGUAAAUUUGCUUAACCCUACUACAUUGUAAAUGGGUUCAUGUGGUUUAAUGACAAAUUCAGAUUUACUUAGCUUCUUUUCAAAAUAUUUACUUAAUACCUGGAGUUAAAAUAGGAGAUGCUUAGAUCUUUUAUUACUGCAUUGAUUACUUUGAUGUGAAUCCAAGCUGACUUCUCCAGAAUUAAGGGUAGAGCUUGUAAGCUUGCUUCUAUUGAAUGUUGGAAUUCGUCCCAUGUAUAUUCGAUGAAAUAGUUUGUAUACUUUGCAUUGCAUUGAUACGAUGACAAUUUUGUGCCUUAUAAAUUGCACUUGGACUUGGCAUUUUGUGCCCGAAAAUUUUCUAGAAUGAUAAUAUAAAAAGAUAUAGAUGCAAUCUUUUAUUAAGUAGCUAUCUUCGACAACUUGAUUGACUGCAUCGAAAAAACUUGCUCAUCUGUGAUACAGGAUUUUACAAAACGGUGAUACAAAGUCUUAAUGGCGAUUUCAUUCAUCUUGUCUUCAGGUUGUGGAUGAGAAAGAUCGCGAGAGAAUUUUGGGGCCUCAUGAGAAGAUACUGAAUUGGAUCGACAACGUCAAGAGAGCGACUAGCCCUCAUUUCGAGGAGGUCAGCGAGGUCUUAUACAAAGUCAAAGCACGGUUGCAAAGUAAGCCGGCUUCUUCGGCAAAUCAGAAUAUCCAGCUCAAUUUCAAGGCUAAAGCUUCGUCAAAGCUUUGAUCAGGCCGAAACCCGAAAUCUGUUGAAGUAUGCUACAGGAAUUCUUCUGAAGCCACAGGCAGGGUGGAUAUGGUGAAUAAAUUCAGUCCAGUGUAAAAUUGUUUAAAUAGUUUAAGUUGAUUGAUAUGUGAAACAUGGGUGUGGGUUUUUUUUGCUUUUGGAGGAGUUGGAACAAAGUUGUUUGUAAUAUCUUUACUCAUAGUUGGUCAGAUAAAACAUAUAGAGCUUUUGGCUGAAGGGAAAAGCCGAAAUAAGCUUCUAGAUCCAAAAGCAGCCGCUCUAAUUGUAGCUCAAGCAAAGUUUUAAACAGAUUUUGUGAAAAACUAUGCUCGAAAACAUUUCAAAGGGCUUAAUAAAAAGAUGUUAGUGCAUUGCUAUGCAGUAAUUUGCUCAAUCCUCUUAACUUUCCUUCAUUGGUUUUGCAUUUACUAAUUGAUUAAACACUGGUCAAUUACUUUUGAUCAAGAUCAACCUGGUUUGUCUAUUUGGAAUUUUGCAAUAAGUAACCAGGUGUUUUACAAAAUUUUGAGAACCAAAUCUGCAUAUGCGAAAGGCCACAUUACAGUUUUGAUCCUCAAAGGUGACAUUUUUGUCUUCCAACCUUAAUUUAUUAUUAUAAUAAUAAUUCUAGUUUAAAUUUUUUAGAUUAUUGAUGUUCAACGUUAGAUCUAAUUUAGUUAACUAAAUACAUGAUACAUGAGUUUAAACUAAUAUAGUAGUGAUAUGACAUCUUAGUUAUUUCUAUGUCAUCCAUUAUAAUAUUCGCGUUUUACUACAAUAUCAACAGUACAUCAUCAUGCAAUCAAUAUAAUUGAUUUGAGGGUCUUAAUUACGACAUGUUAAAAGGUUAGAAUUAGCAAUCGUAAUAAAUUAGAAUUUGUAAGACUAAAGUGUCACUCACCUUAAAAUUUGAAGAACAAAAUUAUCAUUCUAGCUGUUGUAGACGACUAAUGCUACAUGCAUAUUUAUUUAUAUGGUAUAAAUUUUAUAUCUCACUUAUUCAAAGAUUAUGCUUUUUACUACUUUUAUUAAUUUUUUUUUUUGUUUAUAGCGAAACGUGAAAUGAAUUUAAUCCAUAUAAGUAGGGUCUAAAAUUUACACUUGUAUAGGGAGUAAAGUGCAAAAUGCCAUGGGAGUCAAAUUCCCAAACUACCCUCCACCAAUAUCCGGUUUCUACAGGUUUUUAAACUCCUGGGUCUAUUAAAUAGACUAAAAAAUAUUAAUUUUUUUUAAUUUGAUGUUACACCACUGAUUUGUGCUAAUCUUAAAUUUUGAUGCUUUGGUGAGGAUAAAAAAAAAAAAAUCUCAUCCGGGCUUAUGGAAUGACCAUAUUACCCCCACACCUUGAGUAGUGAGGAUUUAAAAGUGUCUGUGGACCAGAUCGGAUAUGAGUAGUUUGUAUAUUAUAUCCGUAUCUUAAAAAAAUGGAUAGAAAAAAAAAAAUAUAAACCAUAAUUAUUUAAUUUCGGAUCAGGUUCGGAUCUGAAUACUUAAGAUAAUAUUAUACUCAUCGAUCUAUUUAAGAAGGUCUGGAUAGUGACUAUUCUUAUACCACCCGCUUAAAAUCGGAUAUAGAUCGGAUACAGAUACCCGUAUGUAUAUAUUUUUUAUAAACUUUGUUAAAUAGUUUAUGAACAAGUCACAAAUCUCUCACUAUAGAAAACUCGCAUUCUAAUUAGUUGCACCGUCCAAUAAAAGCCGUUCAAAAGAAAGAUUCAAACAGUAAAUAGCUAGGAUUAAAAAAAUAAGAAUUAAAUAAAAAAAUAAAAAAAAGUAAACAAAGCAACUAGGGUUUUCACAAUAAUGUAAAUACAUAAAGACUCUUCAUCUAUAAGUCUUACAAAAAUUGAUUUCCUAACUUUAAAAUUUUUUUUUAUUUACUAUCGAGUAUUUCACCAUGUCCAGAUUCGGAUUCGGAUCCGGAUCUGAGUUCAGAUCCGGAUCCGAAUCUAGAUUUGAAAACUCUUUGAUCGGGUAUAAAGUAUUUGGGUCCACACCCGAAAUUUUAAUGAAUGAUUUUUAUCCGUAUACUAUUAAUUUUUUAUUGGGUCCAAUUCGGAUUCGGGUACGGUCCUUGAUCCGGUACGGACGGUUUAAGCGAGAAACAAUAGAAAGGGGCAAAAACGUAAAUUUAAGUUCCAUGGUACGUAGGUCACAAUCGUUUGGUGCCACUUGGCUUUCUCGACACGUGGCAGUGGACCAUUGGUACGUAACGACCAACGACCUCGGUCGCUUGUACGUAAUUGUAAGGUGUAUUAUCUCCGUGGGUCCCACAAUUUGGCGUAAAAUGUCCAUACUACCCCUUACUGCGUUGCGGAGAAGUGGCAAGUUAAGUUGAGUCAACUGCAAUUUUGUGGCGUAAUAAAAUAUUAAAAUAAAAUAUUUCUCUUUUUCUUUAUUGAUUUUGAAAGUCAAGGGUUACAAUUUUAAAUUUGUUACAAUUUAAAAAUUUUGACAAAGAAUUAGAACAACAUUAUUUUAUUAUAUCCAUUAUGUGCUAAAUAUAUAUAUAUCCACUACCCUAAGGUCUAAUUUGAAAAUAUAUUGCCUAAUUAUAACAAAUUUAAUAUGUAGAAUUAAAAUUCUGACAAUAUUAUAAAAUUAUUACAGCUGAUGAGGAAGGUUUCAGUGUACUUUAAAAUUUUUCGAAACAUGAAAAAUAUAAAAUUACUGGGCACAGUUAUUCACUGUAUUUCUAAAAUGGUUCUAAAUUUCGAUUAAUCAACUAAUUUAGUUAUUUUUAAAUAUGAAGUAAUGUGAAAUAAUUGAUUGUUUCAAAAGCUUAAUUAUUAAAAAGAUACUUUUUAAUAUUUAUAUUCACAUUAAAAUUAUGCAUAUAUUAAAAAAUAUGAACUUUCUAAAUGUCAAGUAAGACAUUUAAGAAAAAAAAAAAAUCUUCUACAUGCACAAUGGCUAUCUGUUCAUGUCAUUAUCUGUCACUUAACUUUCUUUUGCAAGAAAGUUGAAAAUAAAUAAAUCUCCCACCCCAAGGGUGUGAAUGAGACUCUUUCUCUGUGGCUUUUUUUUUUUUUUUUUUUUCUUUUUCUUAUUACUAUGUUUUAAAUCCUAAUUUUUUUGACCAAGUUAUUAGAGUUUUCCUCUUCUCCUUUAAUUUCUUUAUCUACUAGUCUUGUUAAUUUGAUAGUUAUUAAUUAGUAUACCUUUCUUCCAUCUACUUUAUUCUCAAUAUUUGUUCGAGAAAUAAAUGAGAAGAAUUUACGUCUUAUUUAUAUGCAUGAAUAUUUUAUUCAAUUUAUAAUUUAUUUAGAUUUUGUUCGAAUAAUGAAAUAAGCAAUUCAGUAGUAUCUUUGGUAUGAAUAUUGAAGGUUAGAGGUAAGGUCAAGUGUCUAGAAUUAAAUAGCAUAUUCUGCAUUCUAAGUCAUAAUAGUAUCGGAAUAAGAUAAAUCAUCGAUCACAUGAAAAAUAUGCUAUCCCACAUAAUCAUAUAUAUAUACCAAGACUUUGCAAGGAGCAAAAACCAAAAUCUUACCUUCUAAUUAUAUAAAAAAAUUUCAUACAAAAUAAGUUAUUAUUUGACAACUUAUUCCGAUAUUUAAACACGCCUUAAACAAUUUUUACAUUAUGUGGAUUAUAAGGACUGCUAUCAAAUAUUUAAAAUAAAAUAUCAUAUUUGGCUUGCAAGUUAUUUUAAUUUUCAAAAUAAGACAAAUUCCUCACAAGUAAAAUACAAUACAUAUUCUACCAAAUUAUGGAUACCAAAAUAUUUGAAGGAGCGAGAAAGAUCGGAUAUUUUUGUUUACAAUCACAAUAUAAAAUUCUCAUACCAAAACUAGUUGUUCUUAAAUAACUUACUAGCAUUGCUAGGUCUACAAUUCAAAAUAAGUUGCAAUCCAACAACAGCCCCACCCAAAGGCCAUUUUUUCUUUAACAAGUUUUGUUACUAUCUUUUUUUUAAAAAAAAAAACUGAGAAAGAAAAAAAGGAUUAGUAAAUUCUAGAGCUUUUUGGAUGAAAGGCUAUAGAGAUAACAAUUGGUAGAGAAUAAUUAUAACCUCCUUUUGUUGUAGACUUACUAUUUCCAAGAUUCUAGAAAUGAUAACUCGGUAUAGUUCAAUAUUUUUCCUCACAUUUAGAUCGGAGAUAUUUUGAUAAACUCAAGACGUAGACUUGAAUUUAAUAAAAAAAUUAAUAAUAAUAAAAGUCUGACAGAAUUCGAUCGAACUCAGAACCUUCUGCUCCGGUGCCAUAUUAAAGAAUAUGAAAUAACUGUUAUUCUUGAAAAGCUUAAAUUAUUUUUUAAUAUUUAUAUUUAAUAAAUGCUACACUAUUUUGUUUGUGAUUGAGGUCAACUUUUUAAAGAUUAUUUUCUCCCAUAGAAAACAUAUAUAGCCCUUAAAUUAAUAACAAAAGUUAUAAAACGGUUGAGUAUCCUGGUGAGCUACAAGUUGAAUAAACCCUCAUGCAAUAUUAUCCUCUUAUAUAUAUAUAUAUUUUAAAUUUUCUUUUUCAAUAACAAGUAUCAUUAUGAUCGAUUUAUGCAUGCAUGCUGAGUCAUACCCAACUCUUUUAUAUACACACUUCAAUUUUAGCGCUUUACCUUCUCUUCUUAGGCUUCGUUUGGGAUUGCGGGAAAAUUGCAUUACAUGCGGUGAGAAACGACGAUGAAAAAAUAUCUUGUUUGUUUCCGUACGUAAUAUUGCGUUCCGCAUAUCGUGAUGAGUCGGUUACGAUAUAUUUUUUGUGGUCCCACCGGAGAACGCAGAAGCAUAUCCCUAUAUAUUUUUUUCUCAACUCCAUUUUAUCUAAUAGCAUUAGAUAGACUUCAAUACCAAACUAAGCCUUACUAUUAUUUGGCUUUGCCCACAACCCAAAUCUCAUAUGUACCGUUUUGGUUUGAGAACAAGCUAUUUUUAUUUAAUUUGUGAUUUUACCCUAUAGAAUCAAAUAAACACAAUGAGCAACAACCUGAAGCUCGGGGUGGAAGUGGUGAGCGCCCAUGACCUGCUUCCCCGCGACGGCGACGGCACCGUCACGACGUUCGUCGAGCUCAGCUUCGACGGGCAGCGCCACCGCACCGCGGUCAGGGACCAUGACCUCAACCCCUACUUCAACGAGCGCUUCUUCUUCGCCGUCUCCGACCCAUCCUCCCUCCCCUCCCUCGUCCUCGACGCCACCGUCUUCCACCUCCACCGCCCCUCCCUCUCCCGAUCCUUCCUCGGCCGCGUCCGCAUCCCCGCCUCUUCCGUCCCCGCGUCCCCCUCCGAUUCCCCCGUCCUCUACUACCCUCUCGAGAAGCGCGGCGGCGGCAGAGGCGGCGGGGUCUUCUCCCGCAUUCGCGGCGAGCUGGGGCUCAGAGUGUUCCUCACCGACGACCCGUCGGUUCAGCCCUCCGGCCAGAACCUUCGGCAGGAUCAGUUCGCCGACAUCCCACCGGAGCCGGACAUGUCGACCUUCUUCCGCCUCUUCCGAUCACAGCAGCGCCAGCAGCAGCGGUCGGAUCAGGCACCGCCGUCGAGGGUUAUGCGGAUGUUCUCGUCACUGUCGUCGCGGCAGCCGGCCGAAUUCCAGAUCAAGGUGUGAAAUAAUAUGAAACAAUUAAUAGUAGUUUAUCCCAAAAGAGAAUUUAAACAAUAAAGAUUUAAAUGUUGUGGCACGUAAUCGUGCUGAAAAUUCAUCGGACGGUAUGUAUCGGACAGUGCCGAUGUGUGCCAGUACCGACGAUUUAUACCGACGGUCACUUAAAUUCUUGUUACAUGGACGGAAAAAAGUAUUUUUAAUAUAUAUAUUCAAUAGGAGACGAGCCCGGCGUUGGGCGGCGGCCGCAUCGUGCGCGGCCGCGUUGUCGUCCCGGGGGACAAGCCGGGCGCCUUUGACCUAGUGGAGAAGAUGGAGUUCCUCUUCGUGCGCGUGGUGAAGGCACGGGACCUCCCGGCGAAGGAUGUGACCGGCAGCCUCGACCCCUACGUCGAGGUGAUCAUCGGCAACUACCGGGGGACGACGUGGCACUUCGAGAAGAACCAGAACCCGGAGUGGAAUGAAGUGUUCGCGUUCCCACGCGACCGCCUGCAGGCGUCGGCCGUGGCGGUGGAGGUCAGGGACCGGGACCUCGUCCGCGACGACUAUGUUGGCGCGGUGCAGUUCGAACUCAACGACGUGCCGCUGCGGGCCCCGCCGGACGGCCCCCUGGCGCCGGAGUGGCACCGGCUGGAGGACAAGAGGGGGGGGCGGGACGUCGGCGAGCUGAUGUUGGCUGUGUGGUUCGGGACGCAGGCCGACGAGUGCUUUCCCAGCGCUUUGCACGCCGACACGGCGGCAAUCGACCCUGCGACCGCCAACACGCACGCCCGCGGCAAGGUCUACCAGGCGCCGACGAUGUGGUACCUCCGGGUGAACGUCAUGGACGCGCAUGACGUGUACAUGCCGCAGGGGGACCGGUCCCCGGAGGUGUUCGUCCGCGGCCGUGUCGGGAACCAGAUGCUCAGGACGAAGAUGGGCCGGCCCGGCGCUGCUGGGAUCUUCAAGUGGAACGAGGUGUGUGACUUUGAAGCUUACAGCUAUGCGGGCAUGCUAUUAAUAGUAUCAAGUCCUAUAAAAUAAUUUUUCUGUUGUCUAUACAGCUGUAGAAAAAUUGAUGAAAAACAAAAACUAAUACUCUAUUACAGUAAAUAACUAAUGUUUUAUUUUUAGGUUGUAGACUUGGUAUUUUUCAUAAUCUACUUGUAUUAACCAGGUACAUUUCUUUGUCGUGGCCGAGCCGUUCGACGACGAGCUGACCGUGUCGGUAGAGGACCAGGCCGGGCCGGACCAGGACCGGGUGAUCGGCUACGUGAACAUCCCGAUUGCCACCGUCGACAAGCGGCCCGACGACCGCCGCACCUGGCCGAAAUGGCUCGACCUCCGGAAGCCAACGCUGAUCGACGUCGACCGCCUCCGCGAGGACAAGUUCGCCACCAAGCUCCAGCUCCAGAUCAGCCUCGACGGCGGCUACCACGUCGUUGACGAGCUCAUCCACUACAGCAGCGACUUCCGGCCCUCGUCGAAGCACCUGUGGAAUGCAAAGAAGCCGAUCGGCAUGCUCGAGCUCGGCAUACUCAGCGCCGUGGGGCUGCAGCCGAUGAAAACUGCCCGCGACGGGCGGCCGACGUGCGACGCCUUUUGCGUCGCCAAGUACGGCCGGAAAUGGGUCCGGACGCGCACUGUCGUCGACUCGCUGAGCCCCAAAUUCAACGAGCAGUACGCGUGGGACGUCUACGACCACGCGACGGUGAUCACCGUCGCCGUAUUCGACAAUAGUCAAGUACUUACAGGGAGCAGUACUAGAGACACGGCGAUCGGGAAGGUCCGGAUACGGCUGUCGACCAUCGAGACGGGCCGUGUCUACGCGCACGCGUAUCCGCUGCUGGUGCUGCACCCGUCGUCCGGGGUGAAGAAGAUGGGGGAGCUGCACCUUGUGGUGCGGUUCACUGCGACAUCUUUCGCAAGCAUGUUGCACGCGUAUGUGCGUCCGGUCCUGCCAAAGAUGCACUACACGCACCCGAUCACGCAGCUGCAGCAGGAGAACCUGCGGCUGCAGGCGGUGCAGAUACUGGCGACGCGGUUGGGGCUGGCGGAGCCGCCGCUGCGGAGGGAGGUGGUGGAGUACAUGUCGGAGGCGCAGGCGCACAUGUGGAGCAUGCGGCGGAGCAAGGCGCACUUCUACCGCCUCACGGAGGUGUUCGGUGGGGCCGUCGCGGCUGCCAAGUGGCUCAGGGACAUCUGCCGGUGGGCGAAUCCGGUCACGACGGUUCUCGUCCACCUUCUGCUCGUGAUUCUCGUGUGCUUCCCGCAUCUCAUCCUCCCGACGGUCCUACUCCACUUGUUGGCCGUCGGAUUGUGGAACUUCUGGUACCGUGCGCGGUACCCGCCGCACAUGAACACGAAGGUACGUUCCUGAGUUCUGCUGCAGCUAGGGGUGGAACUGAGCCGGUCGGGUAAUACAAUGCCCAAAUCCGAUCCAAAAAAAAAUAUUAGGCUUGGAGUUAGGCUUUUAUCUAAUUUUUUAAGAAAAUUAAGGCCCAACCUAAGCCCAAGCCCAAUGCCCAAUACCUAUCUAGCUUUAUGGAGAUCUAUUUUAUGUAUUUAUCAUAUAAUAUAUAAAUAUUUUCAUUGUAUAAAAUAAAAAUAAAAAAUCUAUUUUUAUUAGGGUUUUAUCAUAUCAAAGAAAUUAGUAUCUAACAUUAAAUAUAAUACCAUUAAUGUCUACUAAUAGUUGUCCAUCAAUGAAAUAAGACCAAGCAAAGAAAAGUAAUAAACUAAAACUAAGACUUAGAUAAGAAGAAAAUAUGUUACAGCAAUUUUAACUUCUACUCCGAUUACAGCAAUCCUACAAAGUAAAUAAUAUGUACAUAUAGUUACUUAUAAAUAUGUAUAAUUAAUUAAUUAUAUAUAAUAAUACUAUUUAAUAGGCUAGGGCUAGCUACUAUACUUUUAUGAGUAUAGCCCCCUUUGUACUCAUAAGUUUCCGACAAUUGGAUGAAGAGAUGUACGGUUAGGAUGAUAGUGAUCCCCGGUUAGGUUAAUAAUGAUCCCCUAGGGUUGAGUGGGUGAUUGGUUAAAUAGUAUUAUCUAACGGGUAAAAAUGAUCAAAGAAAUAGAUCUAACGGCCAAAAACUUAUGAGUACAAAAAGGAUUAUACUCAUAAAAGUAUAGCAGCCGGACUCCUAUUUAAUAUAUCCUAAUAUAAAACUAAAUAUUUUAUUAAUAUAUAAUAUAUCCUUAUAUAUAUAAAUAUAUAUCAUUAAUAACAAUAUAUACUAUAUAUGAGGCACGUGCAUGACAUACGACGAGUUUAAUAAAAAAGUUAAUGGAGGGUGUAAUGAAAAAUAAAAAUAAAAAUUAUAGAGUAGUUAAAUAAUAUAAUUAAAAUCAUAUGGUACUAAAAACAAAAAUGAUAAACCUCAUGAAGGCAUCUGAAAUUUUUUUCAAUAUAUUUAUUUAAUUAUGCAUAUAAUCAUGCAUGAAGUUUAGUUGCUGAUUUAUAAUAGUUAAAAAAAAGUAGUUAUUUCGCAUCAUAAAAGAGCACUUCUAUAUACAAAUAUAAUAUCGACUCACAGUUCUCCAAAAGCUAAAGCUUUUAAAGAAAAUCGAGUGUUUUAUAGAUUUCUCACGUGCAUGGGGUGAGCCCGGACGAUCUUGACGAGGAGUUCGAUCUCUUCCCCACGACCCAGAGGCCAGAAGUGGUUCGGAGUCGAUACGAUCGACUCCGAUUCAUAGCGGGGAUGAUGCAGAAGACGCUCGGUGAGUUUGCGACACAAGGGGAAAGGGUGCAGUCCCUCCUCAGCUGGCGGGAUCCGCGAGCCACCGCAAUUUUUCUCGUGUUCUGUCUCGUCACGGCGUUCGUGUUUCUAGUUGUUCCGUUCAAAGUGUUGGUGAUUUGGCUAGGGUUUUACUGGAUGAGGCACCCACGGCUGCGGCAUAAGAUGCCGUCCGUGCCGACGAACUUCUUCCGGCGGUUGCCGGCAAGGACUGAUAGCUUGCUGUAGGAGAUAGACUGAAGCAACUAAAAUUGUAUGAGAAUUAAAUCUCUUCACGAGGAGACUGUCUAAUAGGUUGUCGACCGUUGCUAUAAUAUUUAAAUAUUAGAUGUGAUGGAUGAUUGAUUAAACUGUUAGAAGUGCAAAUUGCCUGGAGCAUGCUUUUUUGGUUGGUGCCCGAUGUUUGCUGCUUUUGUAAUUACCAAAAUUAAUUACUUGUAAUUUGUCCCUUAGUUUCUGUUUAAUUGAAUGUUGUACAAACUCAUCCAUUUGAGUGAGGAGCUCCUGAAAAAAAGGAGUUUUGGGUGAGUUGAUCAAAGUUUUGGUGGUGUUGAGUACCUCUUCUUAGACACACUUCAUGCUUCAACAAGUGUACACUACCCCAAAAAGGGGUGUAUGAUUUACAUCAGAUCAUCAUUUUAAAAUUCAUUUAGUUUUUAAAAAUUUUUAAUAAUUAUUAAAAAAAUGCUAACAAGAAAUGGAUUAACUUUUGGCCCUUGGAUGAUAUACAAUAUCUUUUGGGGUGUACACGCUGCAUUGCUCUUUAUGAUUAAUUUUUUUUUAACUUUUUCUCUUAUUCAAGUUUCUAUGAUUAAUUAAGAAAAAUUAUAAUUGAAUUUUAUGUCGCGACUAGCUAUUAUCACUCAACUAAUCUAGUUUAAUUUGUUGUAAAGUUGUUUAAACUACUCAAAUUGAUGUAAAUUUUAAUAAACUCUAGGCAUAUCUAUUGAAGGGGUUUUUGCUCAUUUACUGCUUGUUAUUAUUUAAAAUUUUCAAAUUUAUUCUAAAAUUUUCAAAAUACCUUUCUUUUUAAAACCCAAUCCCAUUUGAAAACCCUAGGAGAAAUUGGGAUAAUUUUANAGGCCCUGUUUGGAUGCACGGUAAAAAAAUUCCAUGGAGUUUAAAUACCAUAGUUUUGAUCCAAAUAAAAUGGGGAAUCCUGUAACUCCAAAAAAAUUCCACAGGAUUAUUUUAGAAGCUGUUUGGAUGCACAUUAUACAAUUCUACGGAAUUUCUGACAAUCUUAAAAAAAUAAGCUAUUAGGGACUUUAAAUUUAAAUUAUUAAUUAUUAACUGGUUUUAAAUUUUCAAAUUAGUAUAUUAAAGAUACCUAAAUAUUAAUUGUUAUUUCAAAUUUUAAAAAUUAUGACAUUAAACUACUAAUAAAUUUAUUCAAUUUUGAAACACUAGCUGUUGGAAAGCUUUAUCUCCAAAACUAGCCGUUAGUAAACUAAAAAAUUCAAAUACUAGCCGUUAGAAAGCUCAAAAAUCAAAAAACUAGCCGUUAGAAAGCUCAAAAAUAAAAAAACUAGCCGUUGGAGAGCUCAAAAAUAACUAAACUAGCCGUUGGAGAGAAAUAUUAUUGUUUUUACACUAUUCAAAGUCUAUUUAAAAGGAUCAAGUUCUUACAAUCACAUAAGUAGUAAUUCCUACAUUUUCUUCUUUAUAUCUCUACAAUCACAAAGUAUGGAUAACAACAAUCUCGCACUUCUUCUUUUGAGGAGAAGCGAAGAAGAAGAAUUUGAGUUCAUAAACUUCAUUCAUCCAGUGGCAAAUGAUGAUGAAAUAUCAGAGAGGAGACGCAUUCACACAUCCGUUCUUACUGGCGCAAUGUAUGUUCAAGAAGUUCUUGAAGGCCACGAUGAACAGAAGAUUGGUUGAAUGAUGGCAUUUCAGAAAUCAGAAAUCAUAAAAUAAUUGAUGUGCAUGGGGAUGUGGAAUAUGCUGAGGAUAUUGACUCUAUGAAUAAUCAACGCAGAGCAGGCAAUCUUAAGCGCGAAGAAAUUGCAAAAAAAAUGUGAACCGAUUACAUAGCUAGACACCAAUCUAGGAGGAAUUCUUGAUUGUCACUGAAUAUUAGACAUAUAUGUAUCUUUCAUGAAUAUAUAUCAUGAAGUUGUAUGACAAUAUUAUAUAUGAAUGUCAUUUCUAUUUAUGAAUUCAAUCCGAAUUCUUUCUACUAUGUAUAAGAUAUACAAACAAAGUCAACUACUAUGGCAAAAAAAAGAACAAGAAAUAUCAUCCAUGAAGUUUAGCAUUACAUGAAAUAAGCCAACAAACAUCUAGAUACCAACAAAAAUCUAUUUAGCAUUAAAGAUACCAACUUGCUAAAUAGACUAUAAAGUUCAAUAUACCAACAAAUGUCAACGGUAAGGUUUAACAUGACAAACAAAUGAAAGAAAUCUAAUAAAAAAGCAUAAUAAAGAAACUAAGCAACAACCUUAAGGUUUAACUCUAAAUUCCUUCUUCCCAUGCCUUUUUUAUCCAAUAAGCCCUAUGUUCAUCCUUCAAUGAAAGCCAAGCCUCACGAUUUUUUUUCUUUCUUUGGAACACUCUUGAAGCUUUAAAUACCUCGUCCGCGGUCCAUGGAUCAGGCAAUGCAUAAAACACUUUCAUACAUUUAUCAACGGAAUAUUUAUCAUCAUGAUAACUUCUUGUUUGUACCUCUGCUGCAGUGACAAUAGCUUUAGCAAGUUUAUCGUCACCUCUCUCCUUCACAAUCAGAUAAUCUUCCAUUUUAUCGAUAUUUUCUUUUCUCAUUUUUCUUUUUUUAUAACUUGAUGUAGUCCUAGCUUCUUCUUGAGCUUGCGUUUGUGAUUGUGAUGGUGGAGGCACUUGAACUGGGUGAGGUAGGUCACUUGGCGAGGGUAUUUGAGCUGACGGAUUGACUUCCUGAGUCUCUUCAACAUGUUCAUCAAAAUUAUCUCUGACACCUGGAAUCGUGGCUAAUGGAGACUCCGGCUGGGAGGUCGAUGAUGAACCUCUAGAGUGAUUACUAUAAUACUCACAUCCACGAGCACGUUUGCCUUCUGCAUAUGUGCCUUUAAUAUACAAAUAUGAAAUACAUCUCAAUAUUAAUUAUUAAAAAUAUAAAUAAAAUGUGUCUAGGCCAUACCUUCAUAAAUGUCAUAUAGUGCUUCAUACCAUGGAAAUGGCUUGUUGUGCUAUUUUCUAAGUUCUUUGUUAGUCUUCAUAAAAUAAAAAAAUUACUGUUAAAAUUGAAAAAAAAAUAGAGUUAAAGAAUCAAUGCUUAUAAAGUGAUACUCACAUUAAUCAACGGUUCCCAAACUUCUGAUGGAGCAGAAACCAUUUUCUUGUCGGCAUCCCAACCAAAGCCACUCAUCUCUACUAAGUUCUUCACAGCUUUAAAUUGCUUCUUUAAUUGUUGCUCCUGAUCUUUUACUUGUUCUAAUGUAUAAUUUGAAUGAGAAAACUUAGUAAUCAUCGCCUUAUGUAUACUGCGCCAUCCCUCUUUAUUCCAUCCAUUUUGACCUCUCCAUUUAUCUUUAUUAUGUUCUUGCAAAAGUUCUACUAAAUAAGCUCUAUGCAUAUCCGUCCAUUUUGCCCGUGAUUGUUUUUUUGGAUCGCUUUCUGCGCAUGAGUACAUUAUAGAAAAAAGCAUAUAAAUUGAACUAUGCAUAAACAUGUAAUUUCCUACAAAACCUUUAAAACUAUGCAUGUAAAUUGAACUUUGCAUUUGAUAUCUCUGAGUUCAUUCUAUUAACACUAACAAAGCAAUUAUAUGUGCAAGUGUGCAAGUCCAAUACAAAGUGUGAUUAAUUAGCGCGACUCAUUUUGCUUGGCCACAUUCACAGCUAUGGACUCCUACAUAAUAAACUACUCAACAGAACACAAAAGGCUCAAUUUUUCUUUACCUAAUACCUUUUCAUUCCUCAAACCUAUCAAGUUUCAAAACAGUAUUUCCAAGCUAGCUAUUACCCACAUAAAUCCAUCGAAAGAAUAUAAAACGAGAGCGUAUAAUCAAACAAACAUAACAACAAGUAAGAAACAAACACCACAAACCAACAAGAAAUUAUAUUCCAACAACAAAAAAUUCAUCAAGAAUUAAUAUUUAAAUUAUAUUCCAACACCAACUCUCUAUGAAGUAAUAGCUUUAUCUACCUUAGCUACAAAUAGCAUACAUAAAUUGCUCUGCUUCUGCUGCUUAGGAAAGAAAUUAUUUCUCCCACAUGCCCCCCAUCUACUCCAUUUUUUUUUCUUUAAUUCUAAUCUUCACUAUUUCUAAAAAUAAAAUUUAGUUUAGAUGUUGCAACAAGUUAUCAUCAAAGAGUAGAAGCGCAAGAUUAGCCUUGAUCAAUAGAAAUAAUCACCAAAUGCAUCAACCAACCUAGCCUUUUGCUGGUAGAUCACCCUAGUUGAAGUGGCUCAAGCUGUGGAGGCCCAAGGAGCAUCAUAGGUUAUAAGCAAUUUUAAAAACUAUUAUUCAAGUUAACACUGAAAGCAAAAAUGGUUAAAUUAAUCAAAAGUGGGAACUUGAUAAACCAACAAGAAAGUCCUCACUGCCACAGAGAUUUAUGUUUGGUUUAAUGCCCUUCAACCAUGAGAAAGAGAGUACGCAAACAAAUUUUACUCUCUACUUCUUCGCUACAUUAUCAUAUUACUCUUAAUUUUACCUUCAGAUUACUUUCACAAGUCCAAAACCCAAAAUUAAUUUCUUUCUUUACCUGUUGGAGGAGGAAAAGAGUGCGGUGCCUCUCCGGCCAUCGCAGGGUACGACCGUGGCCGGCGGUGGCGACCGUGGCCGAGAAGAGUGCGGCGCCUCUCUGGACAGCGGCGGCGACCGUGGCCAAGAUGAGUGCAGUGCCUCUCCGGACAGCGGCGGCGACCGUGGCCGAGAUGAGUGCGGCGCCUCUCCGAACAGCGGCGGCGACCGUGGCCGAGAUGAGUACGGCGCCUCUCCGGACAGCGACGACGACCGUGGCCGAGAUGAGUGCCGCGGACGAGGUGAGUGUAGCGGCGUCGGCGGCGGUCGAAGUGAGUGCGGCGGCGUCAGCGGCGGCCGAAGUGAGUGCGGCGAAGGAGAGGGUGGGUUGUGGAGAGGGUGGAGAUUAGAGAGAGGAGAGAGGCCCUGAGGAAGAGGGGGAAAAAAAGAGGUGGGCUGCGUGAGUGGGAGAGCCCGAAAAGUGGAGUUUUGAUUUUAGGAGAAAAUUUUAGAUUUUACUUUUACCCUACUUUUUAGGGUAUAGUUUAACUAUACCCUAAUUAGUUGGUAUUUUUUUAAACCAUCCAAACACUUAUUAGAAAAUUUUUUCUACACCCAUAGUAUAGUUAUACUAUACUCUAAAAAAGUGAGCAUCCAAACAGGCCCUUAAUGAUUUCCUAGUACUUCUAUCCGUUUCUCACACAAUAGGGAUACGUUAAUAAUUGGCUAAAUUAUAAAAAAAUCCUUAUAAAUAAUUGUUUUUUACUUUACCUCAUUGACUUUCAAAAACUUAUAUUUUACCUCUUUAAAAUUUUAAAAAUACUUUUAGGGGGUAUAGCAUUAAUGGAAAGGACAAUAUGACCAAAUUACCUAUACUUCUAUAUGAAAAAUUAAAAUUUUAAUAUAUUUCUAUCAUUUUGAAUGGCAUUUUCGGUAUAAAUUAUAAGAAAUAGAUGGAAUAGUGAUGGAACCCUCAUGGAAGGAGGGGCUAAAUGCGACAACUCUUGAAAGUGCUAAAAGACCAAAAUACAUUGCUAUUGCGAGUCCGGCUACUAUGUUAUUAGUAGCACAAAGUGCUUGGUGCUAUCAAGUUUUUCGCCGAUAGAUUGAUCUCUUUGACCAUUUCAUCCGUUAGAAUAUAUUAUUCAACCAACCAGCCAUUCAAUUUUAAGAGAUCAUUAUCAUCGUAACCGCACAUCCUUUCUUCUAAGGGUACAGCACCAAUGAUUUAGUAAUAUUAAGAAUAUAGCGUAAGUGACAAAAGGGCUUGGUGGUUGGUAUUCGAGACCCAAGUUUGAAUCCUAGUUGAUGCACAUUUCCAGCUAAGUUUAUUUAUAAAUAAAAUAAACGAAGCAUGUAGCAUGCUACCUUUCUCUCAAAAGAAAAAAAAAAAAUAGUAGCCCGUGACUAUUAAGAAUGUAGUAGCCCAUGCACGUGUCAACACACAUGGGCUUAAUGAGACUCAUAUCGAUACAUGCAUAACAUAUGUUAUUCCUUCAUUUGAAGGACGCACUGAAUGUAUGAUAGAUGGAAAAAAAAAAGAAACAAAAAGUAGCAGUUUUAUACCAAGAAAUAUGCCCAGAACAUAUUAAUUUCAACGUAUAGAUAUUUAGAAUGUCGAAAAUUAGAUUUAAUUGAUUAAAUUUUGGUUUGAUAUAUCAAGACAAUUUGGGCAACGAAUACUUAAUUUUUAGAAAAUUGAAGGGUUUAUGUGAAAUUUGUUCUUCUCUCUUCGACACAUGAGCUGCACAUGUGUUCACAUAAGCCCUUCAAUUUUAUAGAAGUUAAAUAUUGGUCCUAAAGGACCUAUUUAUUUAUUUAUUUAGUUGUUCAAAUGGUCUUAGUAUCUCAAAGCAAAACUUAAUCAAUUAAUUAAAAUCUACUUGUAUGACAUUCUAAAAGUCUAUAUGUUGAAAAUUCAUAUGCUCUAGGCAUAUUCAUUAAAGUGAAGCUACUAUUUUCUUUUUAUAUCUACCAUACAUUCGGUGUAUAUAAAAUUCAAAAGAGUAAGAAACCAGAUCAGAACCACAUAAUCCAACCCAUAUUUUAUUCACAGUAUGUACAAAUAUAUACAAGAAAGGUUCCUUACAAAAAUAAUACAUCUAUUAAGAUUUUGUUUCAGCUCAAUUACAUAAUGAGCUGUUCAUGCAAAAUCAGCUCCAUAUGACAGCUUUGAAAUUCUCCUUCCUACAUCUAUGAUACAAAAUCAGAUCAUCUCGGUUGCUCCUCUAAUCACCAUCCUCUUCUUUGUAUAUGCUGUUUAUUUGCCAAUCGUAAAGCAAUUGUUUGCGCAGCUCCAAAGGCUUAUCUCAGCCAGCUACUCUUUCUUCAGUGCCAAUUGACAGGUCUUCCGCGAAAAAAUUUCAGCUAUUUGGUUAUUUACAUCAAGAACCCGUAAAGCUAAAGGUUCAUGUAUUCUUGGCAAACUUUCUCCUCUGCAAAUGAUUGUUCUGUGUAGUUUCAAAGAUAUUCGAGGCACUUCCCUCCAACAAAUAAGCACGAGUCUUGUUUAGCGAUUGCCGUUCAUCCCCGUUCGUUCUUGGAACUGGGCCAGCCGUUGACAGACUGUCCCUUCAUCUUGGCAUGUAUUCUCAUCUGAACCGAACUCUCCAUUGCCAUUGCCUCUCGGAUGUUAUUUUGGAGCUGUACGCAGAGCUCGUCAAGGGAGAGCAUGGGGAAUGGCUCUUCGAUAAGAACACCAACCUAGAAUUUUGUUCGAAAGAGAUUUGGUGAGUCGAGAGAAAAAAAUAAAAGCAGCAGGUAACAGGUAAAUUGAGGACCGUGGAAAACAACAGUGGGAGAGUGGUGUUGAGCGGUGUUGAGUGGGAACUGGAAUAGUUUUAGAGUUCUUGAUUGGCUGUUUUAGACUUGGCCUCUCAGAGUGUCCGCUCCGGGAUGGCCCGAACCCAAUUUCAGCUUUAGAAAACCCAAUUUCAGCUUUAGAAGUUAUGCACAUAAACUAAGAUUCCUGGUUCAUAUAAGGGUGAGUAAGAGGAAUUUGAUUGAUCAAAUAGUAAUAUAGCUAUCGACUCAGAUGAAGAGACUAGAGACACCCUCCUUUUCUUUUAUUAUUAAGGUUGACAAGCUUCAAAGAAUCUUCAGCACUAGAAACAACGUAAACAAUCAGUAAUCACGAUCAACGAAAGCAUAUUUUACUGAAUUUAUAAUUUCAACAUGUCAAAAUAUUCGGAUACAUUCAUUAUAAGCACUGUAAGUAACACCAUGAGUAAUGCACAACUAACAUAACCGAGUCAGGUUAGUGAACGUUAGAACUGUAAGAGCAAACAACCUGAGAAAGUAAAACUGCUUACUUCUUCGAUGCAGAAUAAAGUGGCUGCACUGAUGAAAGUAGCAGGGACAACAAUCCAGUUGCACUCGUCCCACAGUAUAAUUGGAAGCGUAAGAUGCCAAAGGACAAGAAAUCGUGAAGUUAACCUUGUAUAUGAAAGAGGAAUUGGAAUGCCUAUGAGCUGUUCACAAACACCAAUGCCUUCAUAGAAACAGGACAGUUUUGAUUCCUGAGAUAACAAGUAAGACACUUAACUAUAUAAAUUAAGACAACAUCCAGAAAAGUUCAUCUGAGAAACUUAAAUUGAAAACAAGCCAAGGACAUAGUGAAUUAAUGUAAAGAGGAAAGCAAGUGGUUAUUCUUCGUAGGAUCCCAAGAAAUAACCAAAGACAUAUACUGAUGUUUAAUCUCACUAAAGCUAGAAAUUAAUCAUGAUAGACUACUCAGAGUCGAUGUCCUGCCAUUUGCUUUAGCAUAUGGCUGCAAUCACCUUAAGGUGAGCAUUCAGCAAACAAAAAUGUUUGGAGCUUGUGAUGCGGUCGGAACCUUAAUGAGUUUUUGAGCCUAAGAAGUAGAAGUUGAACUUCCGAGCUUCUACUUCUACUGCAAAGAAAAGUUCUCUGUGUGGAUUUCAAUGAAAAAUAGUAGGCCCUCCUCUAUGUGUUGCAUCUCAGUACUUACACCGAACAGAACUACAUUUAUAGAGUAUAGCAGCCAAAAAGGCCCUACAAAUGUUCCCACAUUCAUCUUAAAUUAAUAUUGUCAAGAAAAAAAUAAUUAAAAUAUUGGCAGAUUAAUAAUCAAUGCAUGAUGUUUUAUCACGUGUAAUUCAAUAUUUUCAAAACUUGUUUUCAUCUAAGUUGAAAAAAUGAUAUCUUACAAAGCUAUCAAAGGUACAAAGUGAAGUAUUCAUGGAAGAAACGCUUGCUAAUUAGCCAGAGAUAGAUAGAAGCUAAUUAAUAUUAACAACAAAUUAUAAGGUAGGUUGUGUUGUAGUGAAAUAAAUCCCACUUUUGGUAGUCCACAGUUAGCAUUACUAAGUAAAAAAGAUAAAGAGGUCCUAGAAACCAUUAAUGGUGCCUCGGAAAUAACAAAACUACAAAGAAAGUAACGAGGCAAAUACUAUAGCCACCAAAUUAAAUGAUAUAGCUUCAAAAUCAGUAAAUAAAGUUGAUUCUUACAAGUGUUGUGGUUAUUUCAGUAAAUGGAGCAUAACAUGGAUUAGCUCUAAACUACCAACCCUGUGAGAAGAGCUAAUAUUAGCUUUUUAGCCACAGACAAAUUCAGAAUCCAGUUGUUUACCCAAAAAUAGCCUCUUUUGCUUGUGUUUCUACUAAAGGUUUUUUAUGCUAUUCAUUCCUCUUUGAACCUCUAUGAAUUUUUAUCAAUUUUCAAACAACUAAUCUACAAUGUUCUAUUUAAUGGAGUGCCGGUUUUCAAACCCUUAACUAGUUAAUAUUGAUUACUGACUUGAUGCCAUAAAAUCAUUCUGCAGCUUGAACCAUAUCAAAUAAUAUACCUUCAUAUAAUGUUUGGUCUAAGAGAGGCAUACUGCUUAAAGAAGCAUACCAAGAUGUCUCUCUUAUGUUCUUCGAAGUGUAAAAUCUGAAGGCCUUGAGAAAUAAAAUCAAGAACACAGCGGGGUCGGUGCUUGGAUCUCACAACUACCGCUAAAUCAUCCUCUUCAAGCAAAUUUUGCAGAUCUGCUCUCACAUCUGAGCCAUUAAUAACAUGACACUGCAACAUAAACUCUAGUCAUUGACUUGAUUAAUAUUGCUUCCAGGAAAGAAUAUCUAAUUAGUUACAAUGAACAGACAGAUUAAUUUCUAAAGAAGAGAAGCAAAUGAAAGAGGAAGAGAAGUGCAAAAUUUCUGACAUAGCUCAGGCUUUUCAUAGCAAAUUUAUUCUGAAUCUUAGUUCCAAAAUCCAAUUAAUAUUAAGCUAAAUUUAUGGAUGCACAUUUUGAAUUCGAAUUUCAUUUACUUCCACUGUAGAGGAAAAUACUAAAAAUUCUAAACAAAAUCAAAGCCAGUUUUUACCCAUCAGUCAAGGAAAAAGAAGAAUCAAAUUUCUCCAUCAUAGGACUUCAUGAGCAUAAAAUUUUCUUCCAUUGUGUCCAUCUUGGUAAUAAUAGAAAAGCAGAGUCGUAGCAUAAUUUUGGAGGGUAUAUAUUAUUGAACAACUACUACAAUAGUUUUUCUACUCAAGAAGUAGAAGCCGAGCAUUCGGGAAACAAGAAGUUUGCUAGGGCUUCUGGCCGUGAAAAAGAAGCAGAGAUGAGCUUCAAGGCUAUAGAAGCAGAAUUUACAGCUUGAAGCUUCUACUUUUAGUUGCAGAGUGCAACUACUAGAAAGUAUUUAAUGAAAAAGCUUUUAUUGCUUCUUUGAAUAGCUCUACUCAAAUAAUCAUAGCAUAAUUUGCGAGGUGAUAGAACCUUGUAGCAUUAGUAUUGCAAGAAGAACAAUGUUCAAAAAAAAAAAAAAAAAAAAAAAUUGAGAUUCGAAAGCAUGCAAUCUCUUUGGAUCAUAACGAGUAAAUCUUCCCCUCAUUACCUUUAGAGCAACAGGAAACGCCAUAAUGUAGUUCAAGAUCGCCCGCCUGAUGCCAUCCCUUUCCUUCGCUGACAUCACCAACCCCGCUAGCUCAUUGGCUCCUGCAAUCACUUGCAUCCACACCUUCCUCCCCUCCUGGUGUUGAAUAUAUAAAAAUAUUAAAAACAUUGUUCUUCAGUAGCUCAAGCUUUUGAGAAUCUGCUGUUUCAUACCGUAAUGAACCAGAAAGUCCUGUGAGCCCAAAUGCGAGGGGGAUGUAAAGUACAACAAAUUUGUUCCCUGAAUUUUGGUUAUAUAUCUUUCUAGUCCUCGAAAUUUCAAAAAAAAUAAUUUCGUCCUUGAAAUUUGCCUAAUUUCAACUUCAUCCUCAUCAUUUAUAUUUGGUCCCUGAGUUUCGUAAUAAAUUUCAAUAUCAUCCCUAAAUUUGCACUUGACUUCAAUUUGUCCUCAACAUUUAAACUUUAACAUAGUAAAAUCUAAAAAGUUGCCAGCUUUUUCAUCCAUGAAAUGUUGAAAUAUAUGUAGGGAGCUUACUAUACUACAACUCAUUUUGAAACAGCUCUCUUACUUUUGGCAGUUUUGAGUUUACUACCCAACAUUUCAAGUCAUUUGAUUUCAGCUAUUGACGGCUAUUUUGCUACCAAAUUCAAAUGCACUGCUUGCUCUAAUUGAAUUGUACUCCGUAAAUCAUAUGAGAUAUUCUAAACAAGUUUAAUAAGAUAAAUAAUGAGCCUGAAUUUUAUACCAAAAAAAUGAUUGAAUGGUUCAAAUCAUAUGAAUUAAAAUGGUAGAUGGCAAAAUCAAAAUUUUGAAAGGCUAGAUACUUGUUUCAAAAUGGGUCACAGUUCCAUAAAGCUCCAUACAUUUUUACGUCCAUUAAACUAAUCGAAGUAAUUAAUUGUGCACCAGGACACUUCUUGGACUAAAUCUUUACAAUUAAAACUAGUUAGAAAUGUAGAGAACUAACUACCUGAUCUAUGACCCAUUUUGAUCCAACUACGCAACCAUAAAAAAUUUUGGUUUUGCUACCUAAUCUUUGAAUUCAUUUGAUUUGAGCCAUUUAAUGACUCUCACACUUCAAAAUUUGAAUGCGUGGUUUACUUUUACAGGGGUCGAUUAGCAUAGUUCACACAAGUCAUGCGGCUACAAUUCCAUUAAUGUAAAUAUUGGGCCAAAAUUUUGUACCGGAAGAACCAUCAAUUAAGUGCCACAAUCAAAAUUUUAAGAGGUUGGGUAGUUGAAUCAAUACAGACCCAAAUUCAGGCGAAGUUUUAUACAUUUUUACCUAAAAAACUACAAGGACAAAAUUCAGUUUAAGAUCAAACAUGACAAAAUUAGUAAUCAAACCUAGAAAGUGAUAAAAAACACAAUUUUGAGAGGUGAUCUUUGUUCUUCCACACCUGGAACCUAGAGUAGGAGGCCUCUGUCCGGAACACGAGCAGGAGCGCAAGCGCGGGGGCCGUGAGCUGGUAGGGCAGCGACGAAGCCCUGAGGACGGGGAACACUCCCCCGGGGAGCCACCCGGCCGAGGCAGCGUAGUUGUAGAUGGCGAUGGCGGCGGCGACGGCGGUGAGGGCGAAGACGGGGGGGAUGAGGGAGAGGAUGACGCGCGAGGAGAGGCUGGAGAGGAGGUGGCGGAGGUGGCGGCGCGAGGAGCGGUGGUGGCGCCAGUCGCCGGCGGUGUAGAGCGGGCGUCGGCCCAGUCUGGGACGGCGCCGAGGAGGGAGCCGAGGGAAAUGGGAUUCGGAUUAGGGUUAGGGUUAGGGUUGGGGUUGGGGCUAGGGUUAGGGUUGGAGGGGGAGCAACGGACGGGGGAGAAGAAGAAGAAGUAGGGUUUAGCAGGGGCGGUGCGGCGAGAGGGGAGAGGGAAGGAGGGGUGGGGUUUGGGGGAGUUUUUUGGGUGGAAUUGCGCGGCGAGUGGGGGCUUGGCCAUUGUGUGGGGGGACGUUUUGGGGUGUAUUUUGGGUGCCGCGGAAGGAGAGAGAAAGAGGAGGAGGAGCCGAGGAGGAGGUAGGGUUACGGAGAGCUCGCUGUGUUGUGUCUUGAGUGCCGCGCGAAGGUUUUCUGGGAGGGAGGAGUCAGUUUUGCGAAGGAGGAUGCCGCACGUGGAUCCAGUUGAUUGGGUGUAAAUGUGUGGGCCAGGUUGUGGGGAAUAUACCAUGCAAAAAUAUCGGACGAACUUUGAGACGUGGGUACAGGGAUGCAUCACAUAUGCAUGCAAUCUGUAAAGUCCGUGUGGCGUCCACCUUCUUUUACAGAAAAAAAAGAAAAAAAGAAAAAAAAAAAAGUGUGAGUUUAUUUAUUUAGAUCGAAAUUUGGAAUCGAAUUCAUAAGUUCGUGCAACUCGAGAUUACUGGUAUUUGAAUGUAAUGUUGAUCUCCGACUUUCGUAGGUUUCACACGGCCUGCAUGUGUGAGACAGUCUCAUGAGACAGUGAGUCCCGCAUAGGCACGAAUAUGUGACUACUGUGUGAUCGUCACAACUGAAGUCGAAUUUUGUCGUACGGAAGGAACUUGCCGUCUUCCAUAAUGUGGAGCUCCAUAUUAACAAAAACACUUCCAAGUCCGCCUUUCAUUUUGCUUGCUUUAAUAAUAAAAUUAAGUUGUGAGGAAAAAGACGAAAAGCUUUUUUGAGAAAAUCAUCGGAUUGUAUUGUAUUUUUUUUUAAAAAAAAGAGAGAGAAGAAAGAGAGAAUUACAAUGUCCAAGAUUUAAGAAUUUCGAAUGGUUCGAGGAAUGCCACCGUAUAUAGGUCUUCCGUUAUCCAAGCAUAUAAUUAGAAGGUCGCCAAAAAUUAUCGCUAACUAUAUAUAUACUAUAUAUAUACUACUAUAUAUACUAUACUACUACUAAUAUAUCAUACUACUAAUAUAUAUACAUAUCGUAAACAGGCCAAAAAAGAAAGGCAGCAUUAUUACCUAUCAUUUAUCACCUACCUCUAUUAAAUAAGCAUUUUGAAACUUUAAUAGCAGCCAAAAAUCCUCCCAUUCAUGCUGGCCUCUCAGUAUAGCUCCUGAGUUUUUUAAAGUAUGAAAGUUUUCGUGUUUGUAAAUUAUUUUUGAUAUUGGGAUCCGAUUCGACGAUCGAUUUGUUAGGUAUGAUCUAUAUUAUUAUAAGUAUUUAGAAAUCAAAUUUUAUAAUUUUUUGGUUUCGUUUGUCUAGUGAAUAAGUAGUCUUAAAAUGAACAACUGAAAAUAAAAAUCUUAUAAAAAAUAGUGAUAAAAAACUAAAAUUUUAAAUUGAAAAUAUUAUUCUUGCUCUUGAUGUUAAGUAGAAUUUUAAUUUGGAUUCUUCUACACCAUUAAACUUACAAACGUGCCAUAUCAGCCGUUAAAAUAGUUAUUUUUAAGACCCUGUAAUCACUUGAUAAAUAGUGUCGAAAAAUUAUAAAAUUUAAUUUCUAAAUAAUUCUAAUAGCGUAAUUCAUACUUAACAGAACUGAUAGUCGAAUCGAAUAUCCUAUCAUCGAAAACAACUUACAACUACAAAGACCUUCGUGGUUUCGAAAACGUAGAAGACGUAAUCUUAAAAAUCAGUACCCAACCUAAUAUUUGUAUCAAAAUUUCUAGACAUCAAAUGUAUUGGUAGAGCUCAAAUUAGAAACAAAGAAACAAAGAACUGCAAAGAACAAAUUAGAAAAAAUAAAAAUAAAACAAAAAAUUUGUGCACUACUUGUUAGAUUGUGGAUGAAAAUUUGACCAAAUCUUGACAAAAGGAAAGAGAUCAUCGAGCUUUAAUUAGUUUCAUCUAAGUUAUUGAACUUUAGAUCUAUUCUAAUUGGAGUAAUUCUCAAUAUUUAACUAAGUUUUCAAAAGGAAUAAUGAGAAUAAGAGCCGAUUCAAAAAUUAAAAAAAAUAUUUGGUUAAUGGUCGAUUUAACAGUACAUCAUUGUAAGACUGAUAUUGUUAAAUUAAGCACAUGAAACAACUGUAAUCUCCAAAAAUUUAUGUUAGUUGAGAAUCAUAUUUUUAAUAUUUAUAUUCAAAUACUUCUUAUCAUGUCUGAACUCAAGACAUUUUUAUAAGCUUAGGAGGUAAAAUUAAAUUAGAGCAGAGGAAAUUAAUAAAUUAAAUAAUGCUGGGCUUUGCUGGACACAAACUCAGAAUCUCCUGUUGUGAUACCAUAUAAAAUUAUAUAAUAUAACCGAUUUCCACCAAUACCUUAAGUUUUUUGACAACAAUAAUUAUUUCAUAUAAUUUUAAUCAAUUAUCUAUUACUAUAUACUAAAGUCUGUGAAUGUAGGUUACUGUGUUGCCACGUGUCGGCGGGCUACUUUCGGUGUAUCUGGUGCAACAUAAAUCGUUGUGUGUGGACAUAUGUAUGGUCCAUGCAUGGGUAGGUCUUCGGUGCAUCUGUUCUAUAUAAUCAGACUUCUGCAACUGUACUGCCACGUGUCGGGCUGCUUUCGCUGCUCCUGGCGCACCAUAGACUGUUGAUUGUCGACAUAUGUAUGGUCCAUGGGGGAUCUUUGGUGCACAUGUUCUAUGUAUAUCUUAUACUAUUUUAUUUGACAGAACGCCAGUACACGUGGCGUGUGGACAUUGUCCUAUUCCACAUGGGAGUUAUGGAUGUUGUGGGGCUCACAAACAUCUCCUCCUUUCUUCACUAUUCCUUCCCCCUAAACCUACUCUAGCCCAAAAGGACUUUCCAAGAUUUGAGAAAAUUAUUUACAUAUUUUAGAAGAUACAUGAAAGGAUCACUAGAGAUUUAGAUCGGAUGGGAUGGUUUGCUCAGAGCAAAAUCAGAUCUAUCUUAGCUCUCCUCAGAUUGAUCUUUUUUUCUUUUCUUUUUUUUUUGUUGGUUCCCAGCUUUUGUUUUUCUAGCUGCUGCUACUUAGAUCCGGAGAACAUAAUUAAAUUCGUAUUCUUUUAAUUGUUGAUUUGUACUCAUCAAUGCUACACUGUUUGGUCUUUAACUUUAUAAUAUCUCAUUGGGAUCGAUUGAGAGAAAAGAGAAAGCUUCUCUUUGUUAUUUUAGUUGUUCUUCCUGAUGUCUCAUUAGUCUCAUUUUAUUUAAUUUUAGUUCUUUAUGUCUUCAACUCAUAUUUCUUUGUUCUUUAAUCUAAUUUUACAAGUUUAUGGCUUUCUCAUUCAAUUCCCCUCUAUGGGUCUCUUUGAGGUGAUUGCCGAAACUACAAAAGAGAAGCAAUUUUGGAUACAAAAGAAAAGUAAUUUUGGGUGGCCUCAUUGAGUGCAUUGAGACCCAUUUACUUCAACUGAGAUUAUUGGAUGGGACUUUUGUCUCAGUCUCAUUUUUCUUUUUUUUCAUUCAUGUGGAUUAGAAAAAGAAAUAUAUGCCCAAUUCUAUUCUCCUAUCUUUCCUUAAGAACUUCUUUAAGCGUUGCAUUAUUGUUAGUUUAAUUUAUCACACCAUGAUUUCUAGGCUCUUCUUAAUAAAUAUUUUUUUUGGGGUACUAUGUCUUCUAUUAUUUGUAUUUGUUUUUGUUUUUGACCUCCCCUUGCUAUUGUUUUUAGUGUAUAUUUUUGGCUAUUCCUCACAUAUUUGUUGCUUGCUAUGAUGAGAAAAGAAUAAAAAAAAAAAAGAAGAUAAAAACAUUGGGUAGCCUACAUAGUUGGCAUCCAUUAGAUGAUUUCCUUGGCCUGCUAAACAAUAACCGAAGCUAAAAGAGUUUUACAUUGCAUUUGCAGUGAAAGGGUUUUAUAUUGCGUUUACAACAUAUGUAAUAAUAGUUCACAACACUUUGGUUCAAUGUUAGCUUUGUUCUUGAGUUUUGUUCCCAGAUUUCAUUAUUGCUGAGUAGAGCUGCGUUCGGUUCGGGUAUAAGUAAGAACUGCUAGUUACUGGGAUAGGUACAAGUUCAGGUAUAAGCAGGAACUAGACUAACUUUGCGUUUGGAUGAAAAUUGGGUUGUUCCUAGGAAUAAGAUAAAUAGUGUUUGGAUGGUUAGAUUGGAAUAAGAGGAAUAAGAGUUAUAAUUUGAAUUAAAAUUAUAUUAUGUAAUUAAUCAUAAAUAAUAAAUUAAUUAAUUAUUUAAUUAUUAAAGCAAUAAAUAAUGAUUUAAAUAUAUUAAUUAGAUUAAUUAAUAAUUUACUGACAUUAAAAUUAAAUUUAGAUUUCAAGAUUCUCAUCAAGAAACAAGUUUGUUCCAGGAAACGGGUGAAACAACAGUUUCAGCCUUAUAUCAGCUUGUUUCAAAAACUUAAAAAUUACUGUUUUCGGGAACCAAACAUACUGUUUGGAAACAAAGGGGGGAACAAGGGCUUAUUCCCCCCCUUGUUCCCGAACCAAACACUACCUAGUAUAAGUUUGUACUUUCCCACUUGAGAUCAUGUUGUUUUACACAAUGAUUUAUAUUUAAUCUAUGUUAUACUGUCUGGUUUAUAACUUUGUAAUUUCUCAUUGGGGUUAUCUUUGUUAUUUGUAGCUCUUUUUCUGAUAUUCUCCAUAGUUUCAUCCUAUUUAAGUGUAGUCUUCGUAAAUUCUUUUUUUUUUUGAGAGAUAGGUAGCACGCUACCUGUUUCGUUUACUUCAUUUAAAAAUAAAUUUAGCUGGAAAUAUGAAUCAAAUAGGAUUCAAACUUGAGACCUCGGGUACCAAUCAUCAAGCCCUUUGCCACUUGCUCUAGGGACGGUCGGUAUGUCUUCUUAAAUUCUAACAACAACAUUGUUAAAAUUAAAUGCAAAUUUACUUAUGAUGUAAAAUUAAUCAUAA